rnacentral:lncRNA from 1 species
AACUAUAUAACUUGGCUACGAACAAUAGGCCAUCCCUCCAUUUGUCUCCUAUAAGCAGUUCCAACAAUGUAUUAAUGGUGACAGCAGGGUUACAAAUUUGUAAUUCCUCUCGAAUAGCCUCCUACAUCCGAUCGCUGGAGCGAAGGAAUGUUCAUGGGCUUAUUCUAUUCAGCCUCAGCACUUCUGAAGAGUGGCAACACCAACGAGCAUAAGCUAAACUAUAUGUAGCUCAUAACUUCAGGUAGUAGUUGAUAGCAAAAGAAUUUUCCAGGCAAUAACUGAGAUUGCACUGUAUUUUCUUCUGAUCCCAAAUAGAGGUAUGUCGAGAGAUUACUGCAUCUCUUUUGUUCUCUUGUCGAGGCCAGCAUAUCCUUUUUCUGAAACUAAUUCUAGCAUAUCUCCUGGGAAACUGCAGCAGUGAACACACACUGUAAGAAAUCUCUUCUAAACGUUUCCGUUUGAUGCGUAUGACCAGUACUCGUUGACCAGCUCACGGAAGAGAGAUCCCUCAGUUUCCAUGAGCUUCAUGGGCUUGUCAUACUCCACUACUUUCCCUGGAAAUGUAUGCAGAUCAGUAGUAUGGAAUACUAUGCUGCGGAACCAAUAAGUUGCAGAAUCAGUAAGUUGGCAAUAAGAGAAACCAAUAGGUUGCGGAACCAAUAAGUUGUCAUACUCCGCUAGUUUCCCACAUUAGUAUGGAAUACUAUGUUGAAGAACCAAUAUGUUGGCAAUAAGAGGAACAUACAUACCAUCACUUAUUGCAAGUACCAUGUCACAGCCCAUAACUGUUGGUAUACGGUGUGCGACCGUAAUAACGGUGCAAUGUUUGAAUUCUGACUGGAUCGUUUUCUGAAGGACGGCAUCAGUUGCAUUAUCUAUAGAGGCCGUGGCUUCAUCAAGAACUAAGAUCCUGCACCUUUUCAAAAGUGUGCGGCCCAAGCAAAAGAGCUUCCUUUGGCUCAUGCUCCAGUUCGACCCGUCUUUCGCAACUGUAUGGAAAGAUAUAGAUCAGUACUAUGAAGAACACAAUUCCAGACUUCAUGCAAGCAAACUGAUCCGACUCAUACGCCUAGUAUUACAAGCAGUUUGACAGAUUUAUUGGCGCAUGUAUUCUAAUUGGUUAGGGGCAUAAAAUCAAAAGACUGAAGCAGAAUUGUAAUAUGCUAUCCUAUUUUGUUAGGGGCAUAAAAUGAAAUCCAGAAAUCAAAUCAUAGGUACAGUGAGGUUUCCUACCAAGUGAAUCCAAUCCCUGUUCCUUCUCCCGGACAGCCUCAAGAAGUUGGUAUUUGUCAAGAACCUGCAACCGAACAGCAUAUGAAUUAACCAAUUUAAUGGGUUCUUUUUCCAAAUGCAUGUAUGGCAUAUAACAGAGAAUGGACUUAUCGUUUGACAGGCCCACUAAUCAGUUUAUUCAUCCCAAUCAGACAAGGAGCUUACUGUUCUGAAAUUGUAGAUACAUAACAUGUCUUACCUCCCAUAUUAGUUGAUCUAAGAACUGCCCAAGGGGAUCUAGAUUAUAUCUUACUGUACCCUGAAAAAGUGUUGGAUCUUGUGGAAUGAUGCCCAAACGUGAACGCAGGUCAUGUAAGCCUAUUUUACUGAUGUUCACAGAGUCUAUAAUUAUAUCCCCUUCAGCAGGUUCAACAAGGUGAAACAAUGCACCAAUUAAAGUUGUCUUGCCACUUCCUGUUCGACCAACUAUACCAAUUUUAUCUCUACCUUGAAACUUGCAAGUGAUUCCAUGUAGUACAAGGGAGUAUCUUCCAUAUACCUAAUCUGUCAAUGAAAACCAAUCACACACAUCUGUCAGAAUAUUUGAAGGGUUUCGCCCUAGUCAGGCAUACAUGCAUAUUUUAUAUUUGCUUACCUUCAAAUCUUUAAGCUCCACACUGCCAACCUGGGGCCAAUCUGGUGCUGGUCGGUUUUCUUCAAUAACUUCUGCUGCUUCACUCGGAAUGUCCAUGUACUGGUUCACCCGUUCCACAGAUAUUAUUUUGUUUGCAAGGUCACAUUGCUUUUGAAUAGAGCUAACAAAGGAAUUAUUUAGGGAAAGGCCGUAGGACAAUGCCAUUCCAACAAAACCUGUGCCAAGUAUGGUAAAAAGUAAUUAGUUUUCUGAGGAUAAUGUUGAUUUCUUUAUAAUCCAGUGCAUAUUAAAUGUAUAUUUAUAAUGACAGUGGCACAUAGACAUUGAGCGUAUAACGUGUUACUAAAUGGAAAAUUGGGUAUCCUCCACUAGGGUUUCGAGCCAUUCGCCGUUAUGCAGAAGGAUUCUGUAACUCUAUUUGACAAAGAAAGUAGGCUUUCAUAACGAAGUAGAGCCUUCGUAACACCUAAUACCAGGAGCCUAUGGAAACAAACAAAAAAGCUUUUGCAGUGCAAAAUAACGAUUCAUUGCAAAUCAGAUGAAUGCAAUGAUCAAUCGUCAUACAGCUUGUAAGCUGCCAUAAAUAUGUGCAGCACAUGAAACAACUAUGUGAUGCUUGUACCUGGAAUAAGCUACAUACCAGGGCUAAAAGUUCCUGCAGGAAGAAGAGCCAUGACAAAAGCAGAAGAAGAAAGAACCGCAGCACUCAUUAUUUCCAGACGUUGAAUCAACCAUUCAGUUGCUGCAAAAUUAAAAAAGUACGGACCAGCAUUCUUGUCAACUAACUCCAGAUUUUUAGCAAAGAAACGACCUUCUUCCUCAAAGGCACGUAUUGUUAUAGCCCCUGAGAUCGAUUCACCUAAGUGAUUUACUAGAGCAGACUUGGUAGUGCCAUUGAUACGCAUCAAUUCCUUAGCCGAGGCUAAGUAGUACCUCUGAACAAACAUAUGAAAUGUCAGCCAACGGGAAUUGUGAAACGAAAAAAGUAGACGAACUUUACCUCCUGGGUGAAAAUAGCAGCAUAUCAUUUGGUGAAUGAAAUAACCAAAGAAAGGGGGUUUAGGCGUUUAGCCAUACAGAAAAAGGCCACAAGAUUACCUGUAACCGAAUUGCCAAAACUAUCAUUGGCAAUGGUACAAACAGAACUUGCCGUGUAACAACAGCCAAUACCCCCAGAUUGCUAUAUGCAUUUAAGCUGGAACUAAAGCCAAACAUCAAUGCAAAUGGAACAUCAAGGUCAAUGAUGCUUAAAUCUGAAGAGACCUGCAGGUUGGGGGGAGGGUUGAUCUAUUAAUAUAAAACCUUGUAACGUUAAACUGAAUUGUAGUUCAUAUAGUUGUGUUUGUUUGAGAAUUUUUACCUGGCUAAGAACCCUGCCUAGAGGAGUAGAAUCAAAGACGGACAUUGGUGCACGGAACAAUGAAUUAAGUAGCUGGGAAAAUAAGGAUCUUGAAGUCUGCAUCCCAAGAACAACGAAGAAUAUAGAUCUUGAUAGCACAAAGAACACCGUGCAAACUCCAAUAACAAUGUACACAGAAAUUAACUUUAGUGCACUAACAUCAGGAUUUUGGACAUUAGCGGCCAUCCAUGAAUUCUGUGAUAUUUGCCCAGCUAUGAAAAUUAUGUGAGACAUGACAGAAAGGGACGCAUACAGGAAGCCUUUUUUCUGGCGCAGGUAUAGGAUAUAAGGCUUAAGACCUGCGUCCCCUGAUUCUCUUUCCUCUGUUUUGAUCAGUUGAUCUACUGGUGAUGGCUUCACAGACUCUAUAUAUCUGUUUCCAUGAAUACCAUCUGUCUCCUUUAUUGGCAAAUCCUUUGCUCUGUGAUGGGCCAUAUUGUUAAGAUCUGAAACACCAGUAGUAUCUUUAUGGUCAUUUACAAGAUAUCUAAAUUCUUGGCAAUCUGACAAUAAAUCAUGAUAAGACGCAGACCGAAUAACCACCCCAUCUGACAUUAACUGCCAAAAAUUAUCACUAGUUUUAGACGAAAUCGACAAAUAUAAAUACGUGCAUGCUACGGGAAUCACAAACUUUAGAACAAGUAUUUCUCAAAUUCACAACUACUCAACUAGCAUGACUCCAAUAUCACCAUCUUCAUAUUUGAAAACAAUCAUCAAGUAUCAAAUUUCUCAUAGUAUUCAAUGCACUUUUUAUGAUAGUUUUUAUUAUAACUAUCUUGGAUGCCUAUCAUAUUAGGAAUAAUUUUAUAGCCAAAGCAAAUUACCAUGCAGUUCUAAAAGACUCUCAAAAUGAUAUAAGUCAAGCACGAGAGAUCAAUAAUUUCUAUAAAAUAAAACCACCACCGUGUUCUUAAAGAUAUAAGUGAAGCACUAGAGCAAAAUUAUCUAGCUCAAAAGAUAAAAGUGAAGCACAUAGAGUAUUCUAAUAAAUUCCGAUUUAUGUGUGUCUCUCCAAAAGGUGUGUACAGCAAGGAUGAUUGUGGUAAACUAAAAAGCAAAGACUCAAAUCAUACAAGACGCUCCAAGCAAAACACAUAUCAUGUGGUUAAUAAAAAUAUAGCCUCAAGUAAAGUUACCGAUAGACGAAGACGAAAGAGGGGAUGCCUUCUGGGGCAUCUCCAAGCUUAGGCUUUUGGUUUUCCUUGAAUUUUACCUUGGGUGCAUUGGGAAUCCCCAAGCUUAGGCUCUUGCCACUCAUUGUUUCAAAAUCCAUCAAAUCUUUAUCCAAAACUUGAAAACUUCACAACACAAAACUCAACAGAAAAUCUCAUGAGCUCCGUUAGUAUAGGAAAACAAACCACCACUUCAAGGUACUAUAAUGAACUCAUUCUUUAUUUAUAUUGGUGUUAAACCUACUGUAUUCCAACUUCUCUAUGGUUCAUACCCUCCGAUACUAGCCAUAGAUUCAUCAAAAUAAGCAAACAACACACGAAAAACAGAAUCUGUCAAAAACAGGACAGCGUGUAGUAAUCUGUAGGUUUCGAAUACUUCUGUAACCCCAAAUAUUCUGAAAUAAAUUGGUGGACGUGAGGAAUUUGUCUAUUAAUCAUCUGCAAAAAGAAUAAACGUAAUCGCACUGUCCAAUAAAAAUUGCAGCAAAUCUCGUGAGCGCUAAAGUUUCUGUUUUUUACAGCAAGAUCGCAAAAACUUCCCCCAGGUCUCCCCAAAGGUUCUACUUGGCACAAACACUAAUUAAAAGCAUAAAACCACAUAUAAACAGAAGCUAGAUGAAUUAUUUAUUACUAAACAGAAUCAAAAAGCAAGAAACAAAAAUAAAAUUGGGUUGCCUCCCAACAAGCGCUAUCGUUUAACGCCCUAGCUAGGCAUAAAAACAAGAAUAGAUCUAGGUAUUGUUAUCUUUGGUAUGCAAUCCAUAAGUGACUCUCAUAAUAGAUUCAUAAGGUAAUUUAAUUUUCUUUCUAGGAAAGUGUUCCAUGCCUUUCCUUAACGGAAAUUGGAAUCUAAUGUUUCCUUCUUUCAUAUCAAUAAUUGCACCAAUCGUUCUAAGAAAAGGUCUACCAAGAAUAAUAGGACAUGUAGGAUUGAAAUCCAUAAGUGACUCUCAUAUUUUUAGGCAAAGACGAAAACCAAGUUUUAGCAUGAUCUCUAAGCGAAAACAGAAAUAGCUUCAAUUUAACAAUAGCAUUAUCCAUAUAUUUCUUCUUUUGCAUAUCACAUAAAUCAACAAAGCUGUUUAGAUGGGUAGCGGCAUCUUCAUUAGGAAGACUAGAAAACGGAUAUUUCAUGACAAGAUUCAGCAAAACAGUAUUAAUUUCACAAGAUUCAACAUCGGUAAGAGGAGCAAUCGGAGUGCUAAUAAAAUUAUUAUUGUUGGUAUUGGAGAAGUCACACAAUUUAGUAUCAUCUUGAGCCAUCAUGACAAACAAUCAAUCCAACACACAAGCAAACAAGAGGCAAACAAAAAGAGACGAACUGAAAAGAGGCAGACUGAAAAGAGGGCGAAUAAAACGGCAAGGGUGAAGUGUGGGAGAGGAAAAUGAGAGACAAAUGGCAAAUAAUGUAAUGCGAGGGGUAAGAGUUUGUGAUGGGUACUUGGUAUGCCUUGACUUGUGCGUAGAUCUCCCCGACAACGGUGCCAGAAAUGGCUUGUUGCGAGAGAUUAAAUCUUGACUUGACUUGGUGCAACCUCCCCGGCAACGGCGCCAGAAAUCCUUCUUGCUACCUCUUGAGCUUGCGUUUUCCCUUGAAGAGGAAAGAGUGAUGCAGCACAGUAGCGUAAGUAUUUCCCUUAGUUUUUGAGAACCAAGGUAUCAAUCCAGUAGGAAAUUAUACGCAAGUCGCCUAGUACCUGCACAAACAAACAAGAACCUCGCAACCAACGCGAUAAAGUGGUUUUCAAUCCCUUCACGGCCACUUAUGAAAGUGAGAUCUGAUAAAAAUAAUAAGAUCAAUAUUUUUGGUAUUUUUGUUGUAUAGAUUGGAAAAUAAAGAUCGCAAAAUAGAAAUAGCAAGUUGAUAGGAAAAUAAUAUGAUGGAAGAUAGACCCGGGGGCCAUAGGUUUCACUAGUGGCUUCUCUCAAGAUAGCAAAUUCUAUGGUGGGUGAACAAAUUACUGCCGAGAAAUUGAUAGAAAAGCGCAUAGUUAUGAGAAUAUCUAGGCAUGAUCAUGUAUAUGGGCAUCACGUUCGCGACAAGUAGACCGAAACGAUUCUGCAUCUAGUACUAUUACUCCACACAUCAACCGCUAUCCAGCAUGCAUCUAGAGUAUUAAGUUCAUAAGAACAUAGUAACGCAUUAGGCAAGAUGACAUGAUGUAAAGGGAUAAACUCAAGCAAUAUAAUAUAAACCCCAUCUUUUUAUCCUCGAUGGCAACAAUACAAUACAUGCCUUGCUGCCCCAGCUGUCACUGGGAAAGGACACCACAAGAUUGAACCCAAAACUAAGCACUUCUUCCAUGGUAAGAAAGAUCAAUCUAAUUGGCCAAACCAAACUGAUAAUUCAAAGAGACUUGCAAAGAUAUUGUUCAUGGGUAAUCUAGAUCAUAAACCCACAAUUCAUCGGAUCUCGACAAACACACCGCAAAAAGAAUUACAUCGAAUAGAUCUCCAAGAGAAUCGAGGAGAACUUUGUAUUGAGAUCCAAAGAGAGAGAAGAAGCCAUCUAGCUAAUAACUAUGGACCCGAAGGUCUGUGGUAAACUAUUCACACAUCAUCGGAGAGGCUAUGGUGUUGAUGUAGAAGCCCUCCGUGAUCGAUUCCCCCUCCGGCAGAGCGCCGAAAAAGGCCCCAAGAUGAGAUCUCACGGGUACAGAAGGUUGUGGCGGUGAAAAUAGGGUUUCGUGGUGCUCCUGAAUAUUUUCGGGGUAUAUAGGUAUAUAGAGGAGGUAGAAGUACGUCGGUGGAGCUGCGAGGGGCCCACGAGGGUGGGGGGCACGCCUACCCCCCUGGGCGCGCCCUCCUGCCUCGUGGCCUCCUCGCUUCUUUCUUGAUUUCCACUCCAAGUAUCCUGGAUCACAUUUGUUCCAGAAAUAACUCUCCUGAACGUUUCAUUCCGUUUGGAUUCCGUUUGAUAUUCCUUUUCUGCUAAACAUUGAAAUAGGCAAAAAAACAGCAAUUUGCACUGGGCCUUUGGUUAAUAGGUUAUUCCAAAAAUAAUAUAAAAAGGUAUAUUAAAGCCCAUUAAACAUCUGAAACAGAUAAUAUAAUAGCAUGAAACAAUCAAAAAUUAUAGAUACGUUGGAGACGUAUCAAGGAGCAAGUCGGCAACACACGAACUCCACUCCAAGUCUCCAACGCCUCUAUACUGUUGUAAAAGGAAGAAUAUAGAUUAAUCACUAGCUAGAUUAAGAUUGAGGGCAAAGAAAAGAGAAAUUUAUCUAGAUGUACUUACCUUUCUUUCCUGCAAGCAUCCGGCGGGCCGAUCUGCGAGGCGGGCGAGAAAACGAACCGGCGUGGAGACUGAUGAGGAAUCGCCGCCUCGCCGCUGUGCGUGCGUACCUUCUUCGGGCCUCUUGGCAAUUGGGCUUUUGUUGGAAGUUGGAUGAUGGGCCUCUCAGCCUACAGACUUUUUCUUUUUUAUUUUCAUUCACGAAUUCAUCAGGGCCUAUAUCAUCUACUACCUGAAAUCUAAAACGUGUGCGCGCGCUAGUUGGAGAAAUCAAGCGGCCGCUCUGUCGCAUGCAUGUGUAUAUGUUUUGUCUGCUAGUGCAUGUGAUUGCUGGCAUUAAAUCCGGUCAGACUUGUCACAUGUGAAGAAAAAAUAGAUCCACGCAUAUUUAUUUCUGUUUUUAAAUUUUUAAAAAGUCAUAUCUUUCAAACCACGCACCGGAAUUCAGAUCCAUCUUCACCAUUUGAUUCCUCAUGACGAGAUCGUUCAAACUAGAUCCUGCAUGGGUAUAUUUCGACGAAAUGUUUUUAUGCCAACUUUGAUGCUAUAUGGUGCAACUUUAGUACUGUAUUGUGCAACUUUAGUGCAACAUCGUGCAACUUUUUCGGAAACCAAUUUUUAGAUCUGCAUGAUUCAACUUCCUAUGAGAUUGCUAUCUAGCAACUAUGACAACAUUGAUGUGCAACUAGUCUACCAUCUCGAUCAAUUACCUAGUAGUCGAUGUGCAACCCUCCUCUCUACAUGUGGAUGUGUAGUUCGUUUACUGUUGGCACACCCUACCCCCUACCCCUGCAAGCAAUAUGUGCAACUUAGUCUAUUAUUCAAUCCAACUGUCUAUUAGUCAUUGUGCAACUCCUUCCCCUCCCUAUUUGUGGACAUGUACUUUCAGUUGGCGGGGGCAACAAACAGAGUUGCACAUAGUCUGCUAGGUAGUUGGCCAGGGAAACAUACGAAGUUGCACAUCUCAUAGGCAGAGAUAGUUGAAUGGUGAAAAAUUGACAUUCAUGAGAGUAAUGAAAAGUUGCAUAUAAACAGAGUGCUAAAGUUACAAAUCUCACUAACAGGGGUGGUUUGGGCCGGGUGAUAGUUGGGAAACUACACAUCCAUGGGGGUAUGAGAGAAAGUUGCACAUCACUGUUAGAUAGUUGGCCGUUGCAGUAUUCGAAGUUGCACAUCCACUGUUAGUAUGUUGGCCGAUGCAGCAAACAGUGAAGCACAUCCACGGGCGGGGGAAAGUUGCACAUCAACUACUAUGAAGUUGGCCUGGGCAACAUACGAAGUUGCACAUCUCACUAGAAGGAGGAAGUUUGGGGCUGGAGGUACCAUAAAGGAAAAUUGCAUGUCUACAGUGUAGGAGAAAAGUUGCACAUCUCUGAGGUAGUUGCACAUCGACGACUAGCCAGUUACACAAAACAUGGACAAAAUUACACAAAAAAAAUUUCGUCGAAACAUACCCAUGCUGGAUCUGGUUUCGAAGAGCACGCCGCGAGGGUUCCAACAAUGAAAACGGAUCUUAAUUUCGAUGCACUGCUCGAAAGUUAUGGUUUUUUAAAAUUUAAAAACACAAAUUAAAUGGGUUCACAUAUAUUCACGUGAAUACUUUGCAAUUAUUUAUCUUGUUCACACAUGUCCAUACCUCUUCACUUUGCCUAAUAUGGAUUAGGGAGAGAAAAUAUUCCAUUUUUUGGCCGGCCAUCGCGGAGCGCUAGCGGGCCAACGGCCACCUGCUAGACCAGUCCCAUCUACUAUACACACAUUGCAGCACGGGUCAGGGCCCCUAGUUUGGCUGGGCCCGGGCCGUCGCCCCUGCUGCCCUGGCCCAGGGCCGGCCCUGACCGGAAGUUUCAACUUCCUUUCUGGAAAAAGGUGGCCCGCAAAUCGACACGCCUGACCUUAUCAUGCCGUUGUCACACUGGGCUUAGCGACCUCGCCUUGAUUGCUAAAUUUGAUCUGCUGGGGCCCGAUGGGUUGUUUUCAGGGCAGUCGUGUCGAACUUGGGCAGUUGUUAAUUUGUGAGCCAAAUCCUAACUGAUACGAGCAGUUUCUAAUGUGUGAAGCACAAUUCAACUGCUGAUGAGGCAGAGUAUUUUUGUGGGUUCUGGCAUGUCUUUUUUCUUUUCUUUCACAAGCAUGCCAAUUUGUACAUUCUUUUCUUUAUGAGAAGACAAUGCUCAUGCCAGUUGCGGGAAAAAACUUUCAAUACUCCCAAAUUGCUAUAUGCAUUUAUGCUGCCACUGAAGGUAAGCAUGAAGGCAAAUGGAACAUCAACACCAAUAAUACUCAAAUCAGAAGAGACCUCAGGGGACGGGGGUGAUUGUGGUGGAUAAUCCAUCAGUAGAAAAUGAGUGUGAAACAUAAAUGUAUUAUCAUAAUUGUCAUGUGUUUAUUUAUUUUUACCUGGCUAAGAACCAUGUCUAGAGGAGUAGAAUCAAAGGACAUGGGUGGUCGGGACAAUGGAAUGAGCAACUGCAAAAAUAAGGAUCUUCAAGUCUGGACGCCAAUACCGAUGAAUAAUGAUCACGAUAGUACAAAGAAAAUUGUGCAAAAUCUGAUAAUAAUAUAAACAUAAGUUAAUUUCAGUGUACUACACGAGCAUUUUAGACAUUGGCAGCCAUCUAUGAAUUCAGUGAUAUUUUCCCAGCAAAGAAAUUUCGGUUGUGUUGAUUUCUUUUCACUUUCAGUUCAACAAAGUUUUCAUCAAGAAAGAAAGGUUUGUGAGCUUUACAUCCAUGGUUGUCCCUUACUCUAGUUCAUGUCAAUGAUAUAUAUGAUCCGAUAUUUCUUAUUAACUGCAAUUUUUGAACAAGUUUGUGAAGAAACCAAACUUUUGCGAAGAAGAAUCAUACUAUUUUUAUUUAACAUUUUUUUAUGAUGUAUAAAUUCGAUACGGAGUGUUUCUCCUACAUUUUUGUAUGCGGCCUACAUGAAUACACAAAGAAGGUUUACAAUAACAAGAUACGAAUUUAGGCGGUAUCCGCAACAAAGUCUUGUAUCACAGUCCUUACAGCAACUGGAAUUCGAACUGAGUGGGUACUUCCGUCUGACCAUGUCAAGCUCCCGAAAGUGUAUCCUCCUUGCACUCUCUGCCUUGUGGUGAAUGUCACCAUAAAUGUUGCGCUUCUACUGCUUCCUUUGGUGAAAGUAAUCACAGAUGGUUCUACCGACACAUCUAUACCUGCUGGAGCUUCAACCACUAAAUGAUAUGUUGCUUCCGCUGGCCCAACGUUAGUCACAGCGCGCCGAAGCAUGACAUGGUCCUUGAGGUCCGGCACGACAAUUGACGGGAGGUUGAGAUUGAGGUAGUAGGACUCACAACCAUCUAAAUAUCCAAGAGUGCAGUUCAAAAACUUGUUGUACUCUCUUGCAUCCACGUCAUAAACCAAGCCAGGGUCAACAGCUCUAUCUGGGUCUAUAUGUCCACCACCAAAGUCGAAGGGGUCAGCUAGUUUCCUUGGGACCGCUUCUGCUUGGAUUGGCAUGCCAAAACGAUCAGUCACAGAUGCUGCAACCAAGACAAGAAACAAUCAAAUCAGUUUUAUAUUUUGACGAAUUGUUUUCAUGUAUUUUUUGUAUUUCAAUGUUCACACCUGUGGUGACGAUGGCAGACUUGAUUAUGGCAGGUGACCAGCCAGGGUGAACCGACUUGAGCAGUGCGGUCACAGCGGAGACAUGCGGGCACGCCAUGGAUGUCCCGGAUUUGAACACGUAGGAGUCGCGGUCCGCUGCCAAGAUGCUGACGCCAGGUGCAGCAAUGUCGGGCUGUUCAAACAUGUGUAUUGAGAAUUAGUUAAGAAGUCGUAAGUUAAGAAAAAUUAGGAAGGCUAGGUAACAAACAAGACAAUGGCAACAAUUGUCUCAAGUUAAGAAAUUGAGAAUGAUAUAUACCUUGAGUAUGCUAGGGAACAACAUGCUUGGACCUCUCGACGAGAAUGAGGCGACCCUCGGCGACAACACCCCUUUUCCGACAACGGUCAUGGCAGGUGACACCUUCACCACCGCAUUCCUAGCAUGACACGUGACUGGCAUGAGUUUCCGGAGAAGAAGAAAACGCAUUCAAAUCUGUUUCAGACAACACGACAUGCACUCACCCUUUGUCCCAACUCCAAUAGGAGGCAAUUCGUUGUGCGAUCUCAAAAUCCACCACUACACAGGGCAUAACGCCCCUACACAAAGGCAGGAAGUCGAGGAGGUUAGUAGUGUACUGUGCAAAUAUGAGGCCCUUGGCGCCAGCCAUGGUGGUGAGAUUGAUGGCUAUGGGAAGUGCUUGUCGAGGCGGCAUGCUUCUCGCCGCCACGGGUUGAUAGCAUAGGACGAUUUUACCGGUGACGUUGCUCAAUGCCAGUGACGACUCCGUGUCACAGCUGCGCAGAAGUUGUAAUUCAGUAUAGUUGAUAAAACACUGAAUCGUGGUUACAAAAGUGGACAACUACAACAAAUGCGUCAAGUGAUUACAGAUGCAUAACUACAGAAGUUUUAUUUCAUUACCUCCCGGCAUAAACAAGGUCUUUAAAGUUGCCGCUGAUCACAGAUGCAUUGUUGUGAAGAGAUUGCCCCUGUAUUUCGAAUCAAGCACACAUUAAUAAGUAAUUAAAGGAAUCAGGGAAAGCUGGCUUCAGGGACGAGCUAAAUGUACUUUUUGUUUGUUUCCACGCUCUGAGACGAAUCAAGUUAAUUUGUCAAAAACUAUAAAACCAAUUUUAUAGCCCCGGAUCUAUCAUUUCCUCAGACCAAAUAAAUACUUGGAGAAUGUUUGUUUGUAGCAUGCACGUACCACAAGCUUUUCUUUGUUUCCGAGCGAUAUCAAGGUCGGGAAAGACCGGUCAAUCGUGCUAGCGGCCACCGUUGUAACCCACGGUUGGGCAUUAGCCACCGUUUGUGGCACAGGGCCAUCAUUCCCUCCGGCAAACACGAUAGAGAUCCCUCUUUGCACAGCAUGCAGUGUCCCAGGAAACUCGUGACCAGCCCCAGCAAUCGAGAGCGACAAGACGUCCACACCAUCAUGCAUAGCAUCAUCGAUAGCCGCGAGGACCGCUGCUUCAGGGCAACUCCCACCCAACCAACACACCUUGUAGAUACUGAGGCGCGCACGUGGCGCCCCGCCGCGUGCCACGCCCAUGCCUAGGCCUCCGUAGCUCACGCCCUGCACUUCCCUGCCAGCGAUGGUCGACGCGACGUGUGUGCCAUGGCCUUCAAUGUCCCUAGGCGACUUAUAGUUUCUGUUUAGCACCUCGUCACUGAUUCCACGCCCAUACCACCGCGCACCGAUGAUCUUUUUGUUGCAACUUGUGGCGUUGAAAUCCUGACCAGUCUGGCAUUUCCCUUUCCACCGUGCCGGCACAGGGCCAUACCCAUUGUCAUCAAAGCUUCGUGAUUCAGGCCAUAUGCCUAUAAAUAAGCAUGGGAAUCAAUUGAUUCGGUAUCGGAAUUUCUCAUAUUCAGGAUUUAAGCUUGAGGGGUCGGACUGCAAACCUGUAUCGAUCACACCCACGAUGACAUCUUCACCAUACUUUGCUUUUCUGAGUAGGCCCGGUUGUUGUCUUGGUUGGUUAUGGUCAAGGCCAAGAAAGUCCCAGCUCCGAGUUGUGUGCGUUUCGUGAUAAGUGUUAGGCUUCACAGUGACAACUUCUGGGAAUUCUACAUCAAAAAUAUGUUGAUUAGUUCUUGUCGGUCAUCCAAGUAGAUACGAUGAUAGGUAGGAGCCUAUAGGACUGACAAUCACUUACUUGCGAUUGUCUCAGCCUGAGACUCGGUGAGCAUCGCCGCAAAACCAGAAAAUCCAUGCUUGUAACUGUAAACUAUCGACCUCAAGGCUUCAUCCUUGCUGUUGUCAAGUAAAAUGAGGGUGAGCAAGUCACGACUAAUACGUCGACGAUGCAACAUGAACUCACAUGAACUCCUGAUUGUUUUUGUUUUGAACAAAAUGAAUUGGUAGCUAGUUACAGUACCUCCCAAAAACAGAGGUUAGCAUGUCACGGUGAGACGCGGUGACCAUGGAUGGGUCAUCAUGCUUCUUCUCCCCCAUAUACACGAUGUAGAGCUGAAAUUCAUUUUGUCGCAUAAGUUCUCAACAAAAAACAGAUAUCAGGAAAGAAAGCAAAUUGAGAGAGGACUCGGGUGUGUAUCUUACUUUACUCGACGCGUUAGCUGAAACAGGCAGCAGUAUUACCAGCAGUAGGAGAGCGCCACAGAAUGCUGUUCUGGAAUCCAUAUCUUGCUUGGAGAAGAGUGCUAUGUUGUUGUGUUUGUGUUCCCUCGUUCGGUUUGUAUGUCUAUAUAGCAGCCAGGAGCAAUAAGGAUGGGGUGCAAGAACAGUUCAAACCAAUUUGUUUGAGUGUCUUUUUUCUCAUUUCAGAGGGAAUGUUUCAGUGUUGUUAGUUAGGUGACAGCGACACACACGCGUGAGGAGCAAAGACUAAUCCUUUUGUCUAUAUAGGAAUCCCCGUGCUUUUUGUAAUGAGGAAGAAGCACCAUGCUUUGAUCAGGUCCUGGCGGCUAUUAGUACCAAACCGGAUAUAGAUCUUAAUUAAUUAUAUGCUCUCUCGUGCAAUGACCUGGUCGACUUUCAAACAAGCUUCCACGGCUUUGCACAUGGGUCUUAAUCGUUCCACAUGCGUCUUAAUCGUUCUACAAACGCGGGCGGCGGUAUAGGUAAUACGUAACAAAGUUGACAAACGUGACACAUUCAAAUAUUCCAUGGGCACGUCAAGGAUAUAGACCCGCCAACUUUCCUAUAAUCGCAUGUACUCAAAGAUGUAACUUUGCCUGUUUUCAAAUAAAGUUCCAAGAGACUUUUUCUUCGAAAAAUAAAUUUACAAGGGCAAAGACUGGUUUUGCUGAUCCGUUUCUCCAGCUAUUACAUUAUAUAAAUCCAGUAAUUCGAGCCGACAUAGUGUGAUGUGGUCGCCUCUCUAAGCUCGUCUCAUGGUUUUCAAUUCUUUCACUGAGAAAGCCAACUAACAAGUAUUUAAAGAGAACACACAUUUAUGGAAAACAUAGGCCCGAGAAUGGAUAUUGGGACGUUACAUAGACAUCAUCAAUCAUAUCAUAGUGCACAUAACAAAGCAUGUAAAACCAAGCUCAUGUUCUCCUACUUUUGUAGGCAUGUAUUAGUAUGUAGUUGAACUUGCUUAUUUAUAAGAACAAGAGCUUGCCCGGCAUCUAUAGUCCUACCCUCCCAUGUCACGGUGAUCAUAGUUUAAACAAAGGGUAAUUAAGGCGUCAUUUUGUGAGACAACCGUACCAACACAUUAACACUUCGUGAAUACAUGGAAACAUCAAAUCACAACACUCCCCAUUGAUAUCCCGGUCACCCUCGGGGUCACUUUUGAGGCUAUAAUAGGUACAUAUCACACUUGCAAGUACAAUCCAGACACAUUGGCAUCAUGAAAACUUAUAUGGUUAAUAUAUGAUACCACAUUACUUGGGCCCUAUUAGUAGACAUUAAGCAUAACAAAGUUGUAUCAAAACCCUAUAAUCUUAGCACUACUAUAUGAUUGGCAUCGUCAAAUUCCCAUCCACCUGCCUACAACAGAUUACUUGCAUAUGGAUGGAAGAAACAUGAUGGAGAUGAGAGGAAAAGAGUUGAUGGCGGUGGAACUCCCUCUUAGUGUGCAGAAUCAACCUCUCGACAACCCUCCUAGACGAGGAUUAGCGAUGGUGUCGACCGUCAAGUGUCAGGAUAAUAUGGCAUAAAUUUCGUGGAACUUAGAACGCCAAGAGAAAUUGAUAGCCGGAAGGAGAUGAUGGGAGACAACCUUUGGAUCCCCACGCGGGUGGCUCACACAACCUCCUCCAUAGCCAGCGUGAGGAGUGGGGCAUUAAGGUCAAUGAUACUCAAAUCGGAAGAGACAUAUCGAGGACGAGGUAAGGGUGGGGGAUAAUCCAUCAUUACAAAAGGAAUGUGAAACCGAAUUUUAUUAAACUAAUUUUCAUGUGUAUUAGAUUAUUUUUUUCACCCGCCAAAGAAUCCUAUCUGGAGCAAUAGAAUUAAAAUGGACAUGGGCGCUCAGAACAAUUAAUUGACAAACGCAAAAAUAAGGAUCUUGAAGUUUGGACCCAAGGACAACAAGGCAUAAAAAUUUUGAUAUCACAAAGGAAAUCGUGCAAACUACAAUGUAAAUCUAAAUUAACUUCAAUGUACUAACACGAGCAUUUUGGACAUUAGCAGCCAUUCAUGAAUUCGGUGAUUUUGGCCCAGCUAAGAAAAUUUGAUCGUGUUUAUUUCUUUUCACUUCCAGUUUAGAAACGUUUUCAUCCAGAAAGAAAGGUUCCGGAGAUUUGAUCCGUCGUUCUCCCUUAGUCUAUUUCAUGUCGAUAUGAUCCGUGGUUUUCUCAUUAAUUCAUUUUUCGUAAAAGUUUGUGAAUAAACCUCUCCUUAGCAAAGAAUCGUAUUUUAUUCCAGUAUAACAUUUCCUGUGAUGAUGUACAAAAUUAAAGUGUUUCUUCUACAUUUUCUUAUGCCAACCACACGAAUACAUAAAUUAUGUGUAUAAUACAAAGAAUAUGAGCUUAAGAUGUAUCUGCAACAAAGUCUUGUAUCACAGUCCGUACCGCAAUAGGAAUUCUCACUGAGUGGGUACUUCCGUCUGACCAUGUCAAGCUCCCAAAAGUGUAUCCUCCUUGUACUCUCUGCCUUGUUGUGAAUGUCACCAUAAACGUCACACUUUUACUAGUGCUUUGGGUGAAAUUGAUCACAGAUGGCUCUACGGACACGUCUAUCCCCGCUGGAGCUUCAACCACUAAAUGAUAUGUUGCUUCCGCUGGCCCAAUGUUAGUCACGGUGCGCCGAAGCAUGACACGGUCCUUGAGGUCUGGCACGGCAAUUGACGGAAGGUUGAGAUUGAGGUAGUAGGACUCACAGCCGCCUAAAUAUCCAAGGGUGCAGUUGAAAAACUUGUUGUACCCCCUUGCAUCAACGUCGUAAACCAAGCCAGGGUCAACGGCUCUAUUUGGGUCAAUGUGUCCACCACCAAAGUCGAAGGGGUCGGCUAGUUUCCUUGGGACUGCUUCUGCUUGGAUUGGCAUGCCAAAACGAUCGGUCACAUAUGCUUCAACCAAUGCCAAGGAAUCAUCAAGUUAGUCAUAUAUUCAAAUGAGUUAUUUUGACGUAUUUUGGUUAUUACUUUCCUACCUGUGGUGACGAUGGCCGAUUUGAUCAUGGCAGGUGACCACUGAGGGUGAACCGACUUGAGCAUCGCAGUCACUGCGGAGACAUGUGGGCACGCCAUUGAUGUCCCAGAAUAGAACACGUAGGAGCCGCGCACCGCUGCCAAUAUGUUGACGCCAGGAGCAGUAAUGUCGGGCUGUCAAAACAUUAAUUUUUAUCAUGAAUUAGGUAUGUAAGUCUUUAAUUCUGAAAAACUAGAGAGGCUAGAUAGCAAACAAACAGUGACAAAAAUUCAACUAUUUGCCUUAAGUUGAUAAUGAUAUACACCUUCAGUAUGCCAGGGAACAAUAGGCUUGGAUCUCUGGAGGAGAACGAGGCGACCCUCGGCGACAACACCCCAUUUCCAACAACACUUACAGCCGGAGACACCAUCACCACCGGAUUCCUAGACACAUGACAAACAUGAAUUAGUUCUUGUAUAAGGAGAUGGCAAACUGAGUGUUCAAAUAUUUUCACGCUGCAGUUUCCAACAAUUCGACAAAUUCUCACUCAGUCAUGUCCCAGUAGGAGAAAAUUCGAUGUGCGAUCUCGAAAUCCACCAGAGCGCAAGGCAUAAAUCCCUCGCACCCGACCAGGCUGUCAAGAUUGUUGGCGGUGUAUUGUGCGAAGAUGAGGCCCUUUGCACCGGCCUCAAUAGUGUAAUUGAUGGCAUAAGGGAGUAUUAACUGGGGCGACCACCGCGAUGCCUCUUCUGGUGCAUAACAAAGGACGGUUUUGCCCUUGACAUUGCCCAAGGCCAGUGAUUCCGGGUCGCAGCUGCUCAAAAGUAUUAAAAUUGAACAUGGUUUUGUCCUAAAGCGCGGCAUUUACUAUUAAUCAAAUGUCGUCAAGAGACUGGUUUCUUUCAUUACCUCCCAGCAAAAACAAGGGCCUGAGAGCCGCUGUUAUUCAUAGCUGCAUUGUAAUUUAGAGAUUGCCCCUGCGUUUGAAAUUGAUCACAAAUUAAAGAACAAGCUAACUGAGGAAAGCUACAAGAUACGAUAUAGUUGGUGGAGAACCAGCAAUGAUUUAAGUAAAGCUUCAAGGAGGAGCAAACCAUUUAUUUUCCCCGGGUUGGUUUGAACGUCACUUUCGUGCUCAGAGAGUCAAAAGGUUAUUAUUUAGUAAAAUUGUAGGAAAAAAAUCCAGAUUGACCAAUCCUCCACAUUCAUGCUAUCUUAUAUGAACUAUUUCAGGAUUGGAGCACGUCUUAUCCAAUAACAUUUUUCACCUGUUUUUUUAUCCAUUAUUAAUAUUUUCCAUGGGGUUUUUCAAUCCCUUGAGAAGGGCAAGGUAAUACUUCCCUGUAAUAUUUCUUAAGAGAUGGAAAAUAUAAGAAAUAAUUUACAUACUUUUCUAAAACAAAGGAGUGAAAUUGUUUGGUACGUACCAUCAGCUUUUCUUUGUUCCCAAGCAAUAUUAGGGUCGGAAAAGACCGGUCAAUCGUGCUAGCGGCCACCGUCGUAACCCAUGGCACGGCAUUCGUCACUGUCUGUGGCACAGGGCCAUCAUUCCCUCCGGCGAACACGACGGAGAUCCCUCUUUGCACAGCAUGCAACGUCCCAGAGUACACCUGACCAACCCCUCCAACAGAGAGCGACAAGACGUCAACCCCAUCAUGUAUGGCGUCAUCGAUGGCAGCAAGGACCGCCGCGUCAGGGCAACCCUCAUCCACCCAGCACACCUUGUAGAUACCAAGUCGUCAAUGUGGUGCUCCGCCACGUGCCACGCCCAUGCCUAGGCCUCCAUAGCUCACGCCCUGCACUUCCCCACCGGCGAUAGUUGAGGCGACGUGUGUGCCAUGGCCAUUGAGGUCCCUAGGUGACUUGUAGUCGAUCUUUAGUGACUCGGCACUGAUGCCACGGCCAUACCACCGCGCACCGAUGAUCUUUCUGUUGCAACCAGUGGCGUUGAACUUCUGGCCACUCUGGCAUUUUCCUUUCCACCGUGCCGGCACGGGGCCAUAGCCGUUGUCAUCAAAGCUUCGUGAUUCAGGCCAUAUGCCUAUAAAGAAGCAUUUACAUCCAUGGGGUUAAUUGAUUCCUGGUCUUGGGAUUUCUCAUGUUCGGGGUUUAAACUUAAGGAUGGGAUUACGAACCUGUAUCGAUCACACCCAUAAUGACAUCUUCACCAUACUUUGCUCUUUUGAGGAGCCCCGGUUGUUGUGGCGGUUGAUUAUAGUCAAGGCCAAGGAAAUCCCAGCUCCGAGUUGUGUGCGUUUUGUGAAAAAUAUUAGGCUUCACAGAGACAACUUCAGGAAAUUCUACAUUCAUAUAUGUUGAUUAGUUCAUUUCGAUCAUGCAAGUUGAUAUAAAGAUAGCAAGCUCAUGGCACCUCAGGACUGACAAUUAAUAAUCAUACUCCAAACAAAUAUGGUUGUGUAAAUUGCAAUGAUGAUGCAGAGGCCGGGGGGUUAACCCCGUCUUAUAAAAAAAGGGUUGACAAUUACUUACUUGCGAUUGCCACAGCUUGAGAUUUUGUUAGCAUAGCCGCGAACCCAGAAAAUCCAUGCUUGUAACUGUAAACUAUCGACCUCACGGCUUCAUCCUUGCUGUUUCAAGUAAUAAUAAAACAAAAGGGAGGUGAGCAAAUCACGACUGUUUCCUGCUAACACAUCUAUGAUGCGACAUGAAACUCAUAGCCAGUAGUACCUCCCAAAAACAGAUAUUAGCAUGUCAUGGUGCGACGCGAUGACCACGGACGGGUCAUCAUGUUUCUUCUCCCCCAUAUACACAAUGUAGAGCUGAAAUUUCAACAAGAAAAUGUUCUCAGUAAAAGAUUGGAAAGAAGAUAAGAUAAAUGCUGUGCGAAGAGGAAUCGAGCAUGGAUCUUACUUUGCUCGGCGCGCUGGCUGAAAGAGGCAGCAGCGUCACCAGCAGUAGCAGAGCGCCGCAGAAUGCUGUUCUGGAAUCCAUAUCUGGCUUCGAGAAGAGUGUUCCCUCGAUCGCUUCUCCCUGUGUGUAUAUAUAGCAGCCAGGAACAAGAACAAGCAUGGAGGCACAAGAACAGUUCAGACGAAUUUGUCUGCGAGCUGUUUCCUUCCCUUUUAAGGGAUUGUUUGUGUUGCUACUUGCUAGGUGACACACACGUCCGAAUGGAAGACCAUAUAUAGAUCCUUGUCUGUAUACAAAGCACCGUGCCUUUUCCAUCAGAGAAGAAGCACCGUGCUUUGAUCAGGUCCGCCAGGAUUAAACAGCUAACCGGAUAUAAAUAUUCUGGUGUCUGACGUAAUGACCUUUUUUUCGAAAAGGGGAUUCCCCGGCCUCUGCAUUAGAACGAUGCAUACGGCCAUGUUAAUAACCAAAUAAAGAAGUACCAACAUGAUUCCAAAGGUCUCCAAAAGUAAAAAAAAAAGUACAUAAAGCUCACACAGAGCCAAAUAAAGGCUAGAAACACCAACUAGCCAGGACAAGAUGCCACAACCGGCCGGCUCAAACUAGAUAGGGAAACUAAGUACCUAUCCUAUUACAUGACCGCCAUCCAAACCGGUUGAAGAUAUCCCGAGCUACCAUCUCCCAGCGGAAAGAUCCAGUAACCAAAUGCUCCCUGGCCUCCGUCUGGGUGAGUAGCGACCACGAACGGAUCAGUGCCGUAGUUCGGAAUAUGACCUGCAAAAAAUGUAUACAUGAUAUUCUGUUAAAGACCAAAUCAUUUCUGCAAGUCCAGAUAGUCCACAGCAAAGCACAAACUCCAACCCGAAUAUGUCUCGCUAAACCAGGCUCAAUCCCAUUAAGCCAAGUCCCAAAUAACGCAUUAACAGAAUUCGGUGGAUUGAUAUUAAAAGCAAUGUGGACUGUCUGCCAAAGUACCUUGGCCAACGGGCAAUCAAAAAAGAGGUGUUUGAUAGUCUCAUCCCGAUCGCAGAAACUACACCUAGUAGGUCUUGUUCAAUUACGCUUUUAUCAAGUUGUCCUUAGUUAAAAUAACUUGUUUAUGGACAAACCACAUAAACACUUUUAUUUUCAAAGGAACUUUGACAUCCCAAACAUGCUUAGACGUAGGAAUGGAGUCCGAAUUAAUAACAUCAAUAUACAUUGAUUUAACCGUGAAUACUCCAGACUUAGUCAAUUUCCAACGCAAUUCAUCGGGUUGUUGGGAAAGCUGGACAUCCGUCAGUCUCCUAACUAGACGGAGCCAUUCUUCCCAACGGUUGCCCGCUGGCGUUCGUCGGAACUGGAUAUUAAGGGGGGUAGACUGAAAGACCGAUGCGACGAAUACCUCACGUCGUUGAACAAUGCGGUACAAAGACGGAUAUUGGAUGGCCAGGGGUGUCCCGCCAAGCCAAGUAUCCUCCCAGAAACGUGUACUCGAGCCGUUUCCAAUCACAAACUUCGUCCUAUUAAAUAAGGCCUGUUUGACUUUCAUCAGGCCUUUUCAGAAAGGCGAAUCGGUCGGCCUGACUAUAACCUGGGACAGAGUUUUUGUCUGGAGGUACUUGCUGCGAAGGAUUUGAGCCCACAUAGCAUCAGUCUCCGAUGAGAGCUUCCACAGCCACUGUCUAAGAAGGCAUUUAUUCUUAACUUCUAGAUUCUCAAUACCUAGACCCCCUUGGUCUUUUGGUCUACAGAUGAUAUCCCAUUUAGCAAGCCGAUAUUUUUUUUAAGCUCAUCACCCUGCCAAAAGAAACGCGAUCGAUAGAAGUCCAGUCUCUUCCUAACACCAACUGGGACCUCAAAGAACGAUAGGAGAAACAUUGGCAUGCUCGUGAGCACUGAAUUAAUCAGGAUUAAUCGGCCUCCGUAUGAUAUGAGCUUACCCUUCCAGCAGCUCAGUUUUUUCUCAAAUCGGUCCUCAAUGCACUUCCACUCUCUGUUUGUCAGCCUACGAUGGUGGAUUGGAAUCCCCAGGUAGGAGAAGGGUAACUCUCCCAACUCGCACCCAAACAAUUGCCUAUAAGCAUCCUGUUCAUGUUUGGCCCUACCAAAACAGAACAGCUCGCUCUUAUGAAAGUUAAUCUUUAACCCGGUCAAUUGUUCGAAAAGGCAUAACACAAGCUUCAUAUUACUAGCCUUGGCCAAGUCAUGCUCCAUGAAGAUGAUUGUAUCAUCAGCGUACUGAAGGAUGGAUACACCUCCAUCAAUAAGAUGAGGUACCAAUCCACCUACUUGACCAUUUUCCUUAGCCCUUCCUAUCAAGAUUGCUAAGAUAUCCACCACAAUGUUAAACAAGAUAGGUGACAUCGGAUCUCCUUGUCUGAGGCCUUUAUGUGUCUGGAAGUAAUGACCUAUGUCAUCAUUAACUUUAAUUCCCACACUACCUUUUUGCGCAAAUGAUUCAACAUGUCGGCGCCAGGCCUCAUCAAAACCUUUCAUACACAAUGACUGUUGGAGGAAUGGCCAUUUGACCUUAUCAUACGCUUUCUCAAAAUCCACCUUAAAAAUUACACCAUCUAAUUUUUUGGAAUGGAUUUCAUGAAGUGUUUCAUGCAGGACGACCACCCCUUCAAGGAUAUUUCUGUCCAGCAUGAAAGCGGUUUGGGACUGUUGCACCACAGAAUACGCAAUCUGUGUGAGUCUGUUAGUCCCGACUGAAGGAAAUAUGCCCUAGAGGCAAUAAUAAAGAUAUUAUUUAUUUCCUUAUAUCACGAUAAAUGUUUAUUAUUCAUGCUAGAAUUGUAUUAACCGGAAACAUAAUACAUGUGUGAAUACAUAGACAAACAAAGUGUCACUAGUAUGCCUCUACUUGACUAGCUCGUUAAUCAAAGAUGGUUAUGUUUCCUAACCAUGGACAAAGAGUUGUCAUUUGAUUAACGGGAUCACAUCAUUAGUUGAAUGAUCUGAUUGACAUGACCCAUUCCACUAGCUUAGCACCCGAUCGUUUAGUAUGUUGCUAUUGCUUUCUUCAUGACUUAUACAUGUUCCUAUGACUAUGAGAUUAUGUAACUCCCAUGUGCCGGAGGAACACUUUGUGUGCUACCAAACGUCACAACGUAACUGGGUGAUUAUAAAGGUGCUCUACAGGUGUCUCCAAAGGUACAUGUUGGGUUGACGUAUUUCGAGAUUAGGAUUUGUCACUCCGAUUGUCGGAGAGGUAUCUCUGGGCCCUCUCGGUAAUGCACAUCACUUAAGCCUUGCAAGCAUUACAACUAAUGAGUUAGUUGCGGGAUGAUGCAUUAAGGAACGAGUAAAGAGACUUGCCGAUAACGAGAUUGAAGUAGGUAUUGGAUACCGACAAUUGAAUCUCGGGCAAGUAACAUACCGAUGACAAAGGGAACAACGUAUGUUGUUAUGCGGUCUGACCAAUAAAGAUCUUCGUAGAAUAUGUAGGAGCCAAUAUGGGCAUCCAGGUCCCGCUGUUGGUUAUUGUCCGAAGACGUGUCUCGGUCAUGUCUACAUUGUUCUCGAACCGUAGGGUCCGCACGCUUAAAGUUACGAUGACAGUUUCAUUAUGAGUUUAUGUAUUUUUAUGUACCGAAGGUUGUUCGGAGUUCCGGAUGUGAUCACGGACAUGACGAGGAGUCUCGAAAUGGUCGAGACAUAAAGAUUGAUAUAUUCGGACACCGGAAGUGUUUCGGGGAAGUUUCGGAUAAAACCGGAGAACCGGGGGGUUACCGGAACCCCCUGAGGGGUUAAUGGGCCUCAUGGGCCUAAAGUGGAGAAGAGGAAAGGCAGCCAGGGUAGGCCGCGCGCCCCCUCUCCCCCUAGUCCGAAUUGGACAAGGAGGGAGGGGUGGCGCCCCCCUUUCCUUCCUCUCCUCUCUCGCUUCCUUCCCCCUCUCCUCCUUGGACAAGGAAAGGGAGGGGAGUCCUACUCCCAGUAGGAGUAGGACUCCUCCUGCGCGCCUCCUACUAGGGUCGGCCGCACCCCCCCUUGGCUCCUUUAUAUACGGGGGCAAGGGGGCACCCUAGGACACAGAAGUUGAUCUUCGUGAUCGUUACUUAGCCGUGUGCGGUGCCACCCUCCACGAUAUUACACCUCGAUCGUAUUGUAGCGGUGCUUAGGCGAAGCCCUACGACGGUUAAACAUCAAGAUAGUCACUACGCCGUCGUGCUGACGAAACUCCUCCACCGAAGCUUUGCUGGAUCGGAGCCCCGGGUGCGUCAUCGAGCUGUACGUGUGUUAAGAACUCGGAGGUGCCGGAGUAACGGUGCUUGGAUCGGUUGGACCGGGAAGACGUACGACUACUUCCUCUACGUUGUGUCAACGCUUCCGCGUCGAUCUACAAGGGUACGUAGAUCACACUCUCCCCUCUCAUUGCUAUGCAUCACCAUGAUCUUGCGUGUGCGUAGGAAAUUUUUUGAAAUUACUACGUUACCCAACAGUGGCAUCCGAGCCUAGGUUUUAUGGUUUGAUGUUAUUUGCACGAGUAGAACACAAGUGAGUUGUGGGCGAUAUAAGUCAUACUGCCUACCAACAUGUCAUACUUUGGUUCGGUUGUAUUGUUGGAUGAAGCGGCCCGGACCGACAUUACGCGUACGCUUACGCGAGACUGGUUCUACCGCCGUGCUUUGCACACAGGUGGUUGGCGGGUGUCAGUUUCUCCAACUUUAGUUGAACCAAGUGUGGCUACGCCCGGUCCUUACGAAGGUUAAAACGGCAUCAACUUGACAAACUAUCGUUGUGGUUUUGAUGCGUAGGUAAGAUUGGUUCUUGCUUAAGCCCGUAGCAGCCACGUAAAACUUGCAACAAACAAAGUAGAGGACGUCUAACUUGUUUUUGCAGGGCAUGUUGUGAUGUGAUAUGGUCAAGACAUGAUGCUAAAUUUUAUUGUAUGAAAUGAUCAUGUUUUGUAACCGAGUUAUCGGCAACUGGCAGGAGCCAUAUGGUUGUCGCUUUAUUGUAUGCAAUGCAAUCGCGCUGUAAUGCUUAACUUUAUCACUAAGCGGUAGUGAUAGUCAUGGAAGCAUAAGAUUGGUGAGACGACAACGGUGCUACGAUGGAGAUCAAGGUGUCGCGCCGGUGACGAUGGUGAUCAUGACGAUGCUUCGGAGAUGGAGAUCACAGGCACAAGAUGAUGAUGGCCAUAUCAUAUCACUUAUAUUGAUUGCAUGUGAUGUUUAUCUUUUAUGCAUCUUAUCUUGCUUUGAUUGACGGUAGCAUUAUAAGAUGAUCUCUCACUAAAUUAUCAAGAAGUGUUCUCCCUGAGUAUGCACCGUUGCGAAAGUUCUUCGUGCUGAGACACCACGUGAUGAUCGGGUGUGAUAGGCUCUACGUUCAAAUACAACGGGUGCAAAACAGUUGCACACGCGGAAUACUCGGAUUAUACUUGACGAGCCAAGCAUAUACAGAUAUGGCCUCGGAACACGGAGACCGAAAGGUCGAGCGUGAAUCAUAUAGUAGAUAUGAUCAACAUAGUGAUGUUCACGAAUGAAACUAGUCCAUCUCAUGUGAUGAUCGGACAUGGUUUAGUUGAUUUGGAUCACGUGAUCACUUAGACGGACUGGGUCCGUAACUUGAGGAUUAUCCUCAUUGCUGCACAGAAGAAUUACGUCCUGGAAGCACCGCUAGAUGCCAGGCCUACUGCUGGAGCAACACCAGAUGUUAUGAACGUCUGGCAGAGCAAAGCUGAUGACUACUUGAUAGUUUAGUGUGCCAUGCUUUACGGCUUAGAAUCGGGACUUCAACGACGUUUUGAACGUCAUGGAGCAUAUGAGAUGUUCCAGGAAUUGAAGUUAAUAUUUCAAGCAAAUGCCCGAAUUGAGAGAUAUGAAGUCUCCAAUAAGUUCUGUAGCUGCAAGAUGGAGGAGAACAGUUCUGUCAGUGAGCAUAUACUCAAAAUGUCUGGGUAUAAUAAUCACUUGAUUCAGAUGGGAGUUAAUCUUCCAGAUGAUUGCGUCAUUGACAGAAUUCUCCAAUCACUGCCACCAAGCUACAAGAGCUUCGUGAUGAACUAUAAUAUGCAAGGGAUGAAUAAGACUAUUCCCGAGCUCUUCGCAAUGCUGAAAGCUGCGAAGGUAGAAAUCAAAAAGGAGCAUCAAGUGUUGAUGGUCAACAAGACCACUAGUUUCAAGAAAAAAGGCAAAGCGAAGAAGAAGGGGAACUUCAAGAAGAACAGCAAGCAAGUUGCUGCUCAAGAGAAGAAACCCAAGUCUGGACAUAAGCCUGAAACUGAGUGCUUCUACUGCAAGCAGACUGGUCACUGGAAGCGGAACUGCCCCAAGUAUUUGGCGGAUAAGAAGGAUGGCAAGGUGAACAAAGGUAUAUGUGAUAUACAAGUUAUUGAUGUGUACCUUACUAAUGCUCGCAGUAGCACCUGGGUAUUUGAUACUGGUUCUAUUGCUAAUAUUUGCAACUCGAAACAGGGACUACGGAUUAAGAGAAGAUUGGCUAAGGACGAGGUGACGAUGCGCGUGGGAAACGGUUCCAAAGUUGAUGUGAUCGCGGUCGGCACGCUACCUCUACAUCUACCUUCAGGAUUAGUAUUAGACCUGAAUAAUUGUUAUUUGGUGCCAGCGUUGAGCAUGAACAUUAUAUCUGGAUCUUGUUUAAUGCGAGACGGUUAUUCAUUUAAAUCAGAGAAUAAUGGUUGUUCUAUUUAUAUGAGUAAUAUCUUUUAUGGUCAUGCACCCUUGAAGAGUGGUCUAUUCUUAUUGAAUCUCGAUAGUAGUGACACACAUAUUCAUAAUGUUGAAGCCAAAAAAUGCAGAGUUGAUAAUGAUGGUGCAACUUAUUUGUGGCACUGCCGUUUAGGUCAUAUCGGUGUAAAGCGCAUGAAGAAACUCCAUACUGACGGACUUUUGGAACCACUUGAUUAUGAAUCACUUGGUACUUGCGAACCGUGCCUCAUGGGCAAGAUGACUAAAACACCGUUCUCCGGUACUAUGGAGAGAGCAACAGAUUUGUUGGAAAUCAUACAUACAGAUGUAUGUGGUCCGAUGAAUAUUGAGGCUCGUGGCGGAUAUCGUUAUUUUCUCACCUUCACAGAUGACUUAAGCAAAUAUGGGUAUGUCUACUUAAUGAAACAUAAGUCUAAAACAUUUGAAAAGUUCAAAGAAUUUCAGAGUGAAGUUGAAAAUCAUCGUAACAAGAAAAUAAAGUUUCUACGAUCUGAUCGUGGAGGAGAAUAUUUGAGUUAUGAGUUUGGUGUACAUUUGAAACAAUGCGGAAUAGUUUCGCAACUCACGCCACCCGGAACACCACAACGUAAUGGUGUGUCCGAACGUCGUAACCAUACUUUACUAGAUAUGGUGCGAUCUAUGAUGUCUCUUACUGAUUUACCGCUAUCGUUUUGGGGUUAUGCUUUAGAGACGGCCGCAUUCACGUUAUAUAGGGCACCAUCAAAAUCCGUUGAGACGACGCCUUAUGAACUAUGGUUUGGCAAGAAACCAAAGUUGUCGUUUCUGAAAGUUUGGGGCUGCGAUGCUUAUGUGAAAAAGCUUCAACCUGAUAAGCUCGAACCCAAAUCAGAGAAAUGUGUCUUCAUAGGAUAUCCAAAGGAAACUAUUGGAUACACCUUCUAUCACAGAUCCGAAGGCAAGACUUUUGUUGCUAAAUUGGGAAACUUUCUAGAGAAGGAGUUUCUCUCGAAAGAUGUGAGUGGGAGGAAAGUAGAACUUGAUGAGGUAACUGUACCUGCUCCCUUAUCGGAAAGUAGUACAUCACAGAAAACUAUUUCUGCGACACCUACACCAAUUAGUGAGGAAGCUAAUGAUAAUGAUCAUGAAACUUCAGGACAAGAUACUACUGAACCUCGUAGAUCAACCAGAGUGAGAUCCGCGCCAGAGUGGUACGGUAAUCCUGUUCUGGAAAUCACGCUGCUAGAUCAUGAUGAACCUACGAACUAUGAAGAAGCGAUGGUGAGCCCAGAUUCCGCAAAAUGGCUUGAAGCCAUGAAAUCCGAGAUGGGAUCCAUGUAUGAGAACAAAGUAUGGACUUUGGUUGACUUGCCCGAUGAUCGGCAAGCAAUUGAGAAUAAAUGGAUCUUCAAGAAGAAGACUGACGCUGACGGUAAUAUUACUGUCUACAAAGCUCGACUUGUCGCAAAAGGUUUUCGAUAAGUUCAAGGGGUUGACUACGAUGAGACCUUCUCACCCGUAGCGAUGCUUAAGUCUGUCCAAAUCAUGUUAGCAAUUGCCGCAUUUUAUGAUUAUGAGAUUUGGCAGAUGGAUGUCAAAACUGCAUUCCUGAAUGGAUUUCUGGAAAAAGAGUUGUAUAUGAUGCAACCGGAAGGUUUUGUCGAUCCAAAGGGAGCUAACAAAGUGUGCAAGCUCCAGCGAUCCAUUUAUGGACUGGUGCAAGCCUCUCGGAGUUGGAAUAAACGCUUUGAUAGUGUGAUCAAAGCAUUUGGUUUUAUACAGACUUUCGGAGAAGCCUGUAUUUACAAGAAAGUGAGUGGGAGCUCUGUAGCAUUUCUGAUAUUAUAUGUAGAUGACAUAUUACUGAUUGGAAAUGAUAUAGAAUUUCUGGAUAGCAUAAAGGGAUACUUGAAUAAGAGUUUUUCAAUGAAAGACCUCGGUGAAGCUGCUUACAUAUUAGGAAUAAAGAUCUAUAGAGAUAGAUCAAGACGCUUAAUUGGACUUUCACAAAGCACAUACCUUGACAAGAUUUUGAAGAAGUUCAAAAUGGAUCAAGCAAAGAAAGGGUUCUUGCCUGUGUUACAAGGUGUGAAGUCGAGUCAGACUCAAUGCCCGACCACUGCAGAAGAUAGAGAGAAAAUGAAAGAUGUUCCCUAUGCUUCAGCCAUAGGCUCUAUCAUGUAUGCAAUGCUGUGUACCAGACCUGAUGUGUGCCUUGCUAUAAGUUUAGCAGGGAGGUACCAAAGUAAUCCAGGAGUGGAUCACUGGACAGCGGUCAAGAACAUCCUGAAAUACCUGAAAAGGACUAAGGAUAUGUUUCUCGUAUAUGGAGGUGACAAAGAGCUCAUCGUAAACGGUUACGUUGAUGCAAGCUUUGACACUGAUCCGGACGAUUCUAAAUCGCAAACCGGAUACGUGUUUACAUUAAACGGUGGAGCUGUUAGUUGGUGCAGUUCUAAACAAAGCGUCGUGUCGAAAGCAGCAAACGAAGGAGUCUGGAUGAAGGAGUUCAUAUCCGAUAUAGGUGUCAUACCUAGUGCAUCGGGUCCAAUGAAAAUCUUUUGUGACAAUACUGGUGCAAUUGCCUUGGCAAAGGAAUCCAGAUUUCACAAAAGAACCAAGCACAUCAAGAGACGCUUCAAUUCCAUCCGGGAUCUAGUCCAGGUGGGAGACAUAGAGAUUUGCAAGAUACAUACGGAUCUGAAUGUGGCAGACCCGUUGACUAAGCCUCUUCCACGAGCAAAACAUGAUCAGCACCAAGGCUCCAUAGGUGUUAGAAUCAUUACUGUGUAAUCUAGAUUAUUGACUCUAGUGCAAGUGGGAGACUGAAGGAAAUAUGCCCUAGAGGCAAUAAUAAAGAUAUUAUUUAUUUCCUUAUAUCAUGAUAAAUGUUUAUUAUUCAUGCUAGAAUUGUAUUAACCGGAAAGAUAAUACAUGUGUGAACACAUAGACAAACAAAGUGUCACUAGUAUGCCUCUACUUGACUAGCUCGUUAAUCAAAGAUGGUUAUAUUUCCUAACCAUGGACAAAGAGUUGUCAUUUGAUUAACGGGAUCACAUCAUUAGUUGAAUGAUCUGAUUGACAUGACCCAUUCCACUAGCUUAGCACCCGAUCGUUUAGUAUGUUGCUAUUGCUUUCUUCAUGACUUAUACAUGUUCCUAUGACUAUGAGAUUAUGUAACUCCCGUGUGCCGGAGGAACACUUUGUGUGCUACCAAACGUCACAACGUAACUGGGUGAUUAUAAAGGUGCUCUACAGGUGUCUCCAAAGGUACAUGUUGGGUUGACGUAUUUCGAGAUUAGGAUUUGUCACUCCGAUCGUCGGAGAGGUAUCUCUAGGCCCUCUCGGUAAUGCACAUCACUUAAGCCUUGCAAGCAUUGCAACUAAUGAGUUAGUUGCGGGAUGAUGCAUUAAGGAACGAGUAAAGAGACUUGCCAGUAACGAGAUUGAACUAGGUAUUGGAUACCGACAAUCGAAUCUCGGGCAAGUAACAUACCGAUGACAAAGGGAACAACGUAUGUUGUUAUGCGGUCUGACCAAUAAAGAUCUUCGUAGAAUAUGUAGGAGCCAAUAUGGGCAUCCAGGUCCCGCUGUUGGUUAUUGACCGGAGACGUGUCUCGGUCAUGUCUACAUUGUUCUCGAACCGUAGGGUCCGCACGCUUAAAGUUACGAUGACAGUUUCAUUAUGAGUUUAUGCAUUUUGAUGUACCGAAGGUUGUUCGGAGUCCCGGAUGUGAUCACGGACAUGACGAGGAGUCUCGAAAUGGUCGAGACAUAAAGAUUGAUAUAUUCGGACACCAGAAGUGUUUCGGGGAAGUUUCGGAUAAAACCGGAGAACCGGGGGGUUACCGGAACCCCCCGGGGGUUAAUGGGCCUCAUGGGCCUAAAGUGGAGAAGAGGAAAGGCAGCCAGGGCAGGCCGCGCGCCCCCUCUCCCCCUAGUCCGAAUUGGACAAGGAGGGAGGGGCGGCGCCCCCCUUUCCUUCCUCUCCUCUCUCCCUUCCUUCCCCCUCUCCUACUUGGACAAGGAAAGGGAGGGGAGUCCUACUCCGAGUAGGAGUAGGACUCCUCCUGCGCGCCUCCUACUAGGGCCGGCCGCACCCCCCCCUUGGCUCCUUUAUAUACGGGGGCAAGGGGGCACCCUAGGACACAGAAGUUGAUCUUCGUGAUCGUUACUUAGCCGUGUGCGGUGCCCCCCUCCACGAUAUUACACCUCGAUCGUAUUGUAGCGGUGCUUAGGCGAAGCCCUACGACGGUUAAACAUCAAGAUAGUCACCACGCCGUCGUGCUGACGAAACUUCUCCACCGAAGCUUUGCUGGAUCGGAGCCCCGGGUGCGUCAUCGAGCUGUACGUGUGUCAAGAACUUGGAGGUGCCGGAGUAACGGUGCUUGGAUCGGUUGGACCGGGAAGACGUACGACUACUUCCUCUACGUUGCGUCAACGCUUCCGCGUCGAUCUACAAGGGUACGUAGAUCACACUCUCCCCUCUCGUUGCUAUGCAUCACCAUGAUCUUGCAUGUGCGUAGGAAUUUUUGUUAAAUUACUACAUUACCCAACACCGACCUUGGUGAAAAUUUUGAAACUAACAUUGAGGAGACAGAUCGGCCUGAAUUGCUCAAUUCUCACAGCAUCCGUCUUUUUAGGAAGCAGUGUGAUAGUCCCAAAAUUCAAGUGAAAUAAUUGAAGCUGUCCGAAAAACAGAUCAUGGAACAUAGGUGGUAAAUCCCCCUUAAUAAUGUGCCAGCACUUUUUAUAGAACUCUGCCGGGAAUCCAUCGGUCCGGGAGCCUUGUUGUUUUUCAUCUGUGCAAUACCAUCAAAAACCUCCUUCUCCGAAAACAGGGCAACCAGAAUAUCAUUAUCAGCAGCUGAUAGCUGAGGUACGUUCUCAGUCCUGGACUCAUCGAGGGACACACAAUUAUCCUCCGGAGGUCCAAAUAACUGCUUAUAAUAGUCGGUAAUAUAUGUUUUUAGGUUAUCCUGACCUAAAAUAGUGCCCUCGUCUUGCUCAAGCUGAAAGAUACGCUUCUUUUUGUGCUUGCCAUUAGCUAUCAAAUGGAAGAACUGAGUGUUCGCAUCCCCUUGGACCACUUUGCGGACUUUGGCACGCAAAGCCCACUUCAAUUCUUGUUCGCGAAACAGUUCUUUCAGCCUCUUCUCCGCCUCAUUUCUAGCCUGAAGCUGAGCUGGCGACAAGAUAUUGACUUCGGCCUAUAUGUCCAGGGCCUGUAUAAGAGUAAGGAGUCUAUCCUUUUCAAUCUUAUACACACCACUGAGGUUCUUAGCCCAACCCCGUAAGAAACUUCUUAAAUGCCUAAUCUUAUUCUGCCAACGCUCUAUCGCAUUCUUGCCUCCUACACCUCUAUCCCAUUCCCUGGCGAUCAAGUCCAAGAACCCCUCACAUUCAAACCAACACAUCUCGAAGGAGAAGGUAUUCUUGUUACCCUCAUGGUUCGGCUCCCCUGAGUCCACGAACAAUGGGGUGUGAUCAGAUAUUCCCCUCGAAAGAGCUUGCACCGUAACCAUAGGGAACUUUUGUUCCCACUCCACGCUCGCAAGUACUCGAUCAAGUUUUUCAUAGGUUGGGUUUGGUAGAGCAUUAGCCCAGGUGAACUUUCUCCCAGAAAGCUCUAUCUCUCUCAGAUCCAAGCUUUCAAUAAUGGUGUUGAACAUAAACGACCAUCUGCCAUCAAAGUUAUCAUUGUUCUUCUCCUCUCUCCUCCUGAUGAUAUUGAAAUCACCUCCAACUAAAAUUGGAAGCUGUUCUGACCCACAGAUUCGAACAAGGUACGCCAGAAACUCCGCUUUAAGUUCAGGCUGUGAGGCACCAUAAACCGCCACCAAAGCCCAGUUAAAACCAUCUACCCUAGACCUGACUCGAAACUUGACCACGAAGUCUCCCAUCACGACACUUCGGACUUCAAGCGAAUCGCAUCUCACACCUAGUAAGAUACCACCCGAUCUUCCUCGCGAAGGGAGGCAAUGCCAAUCGAAAUCAAUACCACCCACAAGAGAAGAGAGAAACUGGGGCGCAAAGUUUUCUCUACCCGUCUCUGAUAGAGCAACAAAAUCUAACCUCUGCUCUAGAGCUGCCUCAGCUAGGAAUCUUCUUUUAGCCAAGUCCUUCAGACCUCUGCUAUUCCAAAAAAUUCCACUCAUAGUUCAUCAUGGAAUUUUUUACUAACUCGAAUCCUAGCACUCCUAUGAACUACGGAAUCUGGAUAGAUCUUCCGUUUCCACUUACGCUUAGGUUUACUAGGCUCAGUCACCCGGUCCUCAUAACCGGGUUCACAUAUAUUGCUAGCCUCAUUCUCUAGGGGUACAUCAUCUUCCUCAGAGUCAUGAUUGGGGCGUGCUAGAUCCGCACACAGAUUAUCGAGCACUCUAACCCCUAACGCAUCAAUCUCAUCAUCAUUCAUGACGUAAUGACCUGAUCAUCGUCUUUCAAACAAUUUUCCGCGAUAAGUUGGGCAUGAAACAGGAUGGGCCGCUUUGAUGCCAGGACAAUCAUUUUAGGUUUUUUAGGCUUAUGCCCUUGGUUGGUUCCCACUACUCUUAGAUUUCGGACCUACACAGUUUUACCCUUGUUUCAAUAUAAAACCAUUUUUUAUUUUCGAUUUGAACUCAAUUUCAUCAAUUCUGAAGUUGCUACCCACGUGUGUGAUGUGGUCUGUUAGACCAUUGCUUAGGGCAUCUCCAAUGCAGACUCCUACUCCGGCCUCAAAUGUCUGGAACGGAUGGUUCAGACACUUUAGGCCUCCAAUGUGGACUCCUACUUUGGGCCGGACACGUCCAAAAUCACUCAGUCCGUCCACAAAUCGAGAGGCGGGGUUGGGGAGUCUAGGCGUCAUCAUGCCCCAUUACUACAUCUUCACCCAGCAACCACCUCCUUGACCCCUCCUUUUUUUCCAGACGUCCCCCCUCCCCCUCCACUCUCUGUCCCCGUUCCUGGAGGCCAACGCCAACGCCACCACCCCCACCCCACCCCCAUGCCACCUGGUCCUUGCCGUUGCAAUCAUUCGAGCAGAAGGAAUCGCUCCAUAAGGCCAUAAAUCACCUAAGUUGCGGUUGUCUUCCUCGCCUCCGGUCGAGCAUCGCCAUGGUUAGGUCCCAGCGCCCCUCUGUCCAUCUUAGCAAUCCCCAGGAGCUUCCAAAGACGGUGCUGCAAAAUAAUGUAUACAAACUAUAUAACUUGGCUACGAACAAUAGGCCAUCCCUCCAUUUGUCUCCUAUAAGCAGUUCCAACAAUGUAUUAAUGGUGACAGCAGGGUUACAAAUUUGUAAUUCCUCUCGAAUAGCCUCCUACAUCCGAUCGCUGGAGCGAAGGAAUGUUCAUGGGCUUAUUCUAUUCAGCCUCAGCGCUUCUGAACAGUGGCAACACCAACGAGCAUAAGCUAAACUAUAUGUAGCUCAUAACUUCAGGUAGUAGUUGAUAGCAAAAGAAUUUUCCAGGCAAUAACUGAGAUUGCACUGUAUUUUCUUCCGAUCCCAAAUAGAGGUAUGUCGAGAGAUUACUGCAUCUCUUUUGUUCUCUUGUCGAGGCCAGCAUAUCCUUUUUCUGAAACUAAUUCUAGCAUAUCUCCUGGGAAACUGCAGCAGUGAACACACACUGUAAGAAAUCUCUUCUAAACAUUUCCGUUUGAUGUGUAUGACCAGUACUCGUUGACCAGCUCACGGAAGAGAGAUCCCUCAGUUUCCAUGAGCUUCAUGGGCUUGUCAUACUCCACUACUUUCCCUGGAAAUGUAUGCAGAUCAGUAGUAUGGAAUACUAUGCUGCGGAACCAAUAAGUUGCAGAAUUAGUAAGUUGGCAAUAAGAGAAACCAAUAGGUUGCGGAACCAAUAAGUUGUCAUACUCCGCUAGUUUCCCACAUUAGUAUGGAAUACUAUGUUGAAGAACCAAUAAGUUGGCAAUAAGAGGAACAUACAUACCAUCACUUAUUGCAAGUACCAUGUCACAGCCCAUAACUGUUGGUAUACGGUGUGCGACAGUAAUAACGGUGCAAUGUUUGGAUUCUGACUGGAUCGUUUUCUGAAGGACGGCAUCAGUUGCAUUAUCUAUAGAGGCCGUGGCUUCAUCAAGAACUAAGAUCCUGCACCUUUUCAAAAGUGUGCGGCCCAAGAAAAAGAGCUUCCUAUGGCUCAUGCUCCAGUUUGACCCGUCUUCCGCAACUGUAUGGAAAGAUAUAGAUCAGUACUAUGAAGAACACAAUUCCAGACAUCAUGCAAGCAAACUGAUCCGACUCAUACGCCUAGUACUACAAGCAGUUUGACAGAUUUAUUGGCGCAUGUAUUCUAAUUGGUUAGGGGCAUAAAAUCAAAAGACUGAAGCAGAAUUGUAAUAUGCUAUCCUAUUUUGUUAGGGGCAUAAAAUGAAAUCCAGAAAUCAAAUCAUAGGUACAGUGAGGUUUCCUACCAAGUGAAUCCAAUCCCUGUUCCUUCUCCCGGACAGCUUCAAGAAGUUGGCAUUUGUCAAGAACCUGCAAUGUCAGCCAACGGGAAUUGUGAAACGUAAAAAGUAGACAAACUUUACCUCCUGGGUGAAAAUAGCAGCAUAUCAUUUGGUGAAUGAAAUAACCAAAGAAAGGGGGUUUAGGAGUUUAGCCAUACAGAAAAAGGCCACAAGAUUACCUGUAACCGAAUUGCCAAAACUAUCAUUGGCAAUGGUACAAACAGAACUUUCCAUGUAACAACAGCCAAUACCCCCAUAUUGCUAUAUGCAUUUAAGCUGGAACUAAAGCCAAACAUCAAUGCAAAUGGAACAUCAAGGUCAAUGAUGCUUAAAUCUGAAGAGACCUGCAGGUUGGGGGGAGGGUUGAUCUAUUAAUAUAAAACCUUGUAACGUUAAACUGAAUUGUAGUUCAUAUAGUUGUGUUUGUUUGAGAAUUUUUACCCGGCUAAGAACCAUGCCUAGAGGAGUAGAAUCAAAGACGGACAUUGGUGCACGGAACAAUGAAUUAAGUAGCUGGGAAAAUAAGGAUCUUGAAGUCUGCAUCCCAAGAACAACGAGGAAUAUAGAUCUUGAUAGCACAAAGAACACCGUGCAAACUCCAAUAACAAUGUACACAGAAAUUAACUUUAGUGCACUAACAUCAGGAUUUUGGACAUUAGCGGCCAUCCAUGAAUUCUGUGAUAUUUGCCCAGCUAUGAAAAUUAUGUGAGACAUGACAGAAAGGGAGGCAUACAGGAAGCCUUUUUUCUGGCGCAGGUAUAGGAUAUAAGGCUUAAGACCUGCGUCCCCUGAUUCUCUUUCCUCUGUUUUGAUCAGUUGAUCUACUGGUGAUGGCUUCACAGACUCUAUAUAUCUGUUUCCAUGAAUACCAUCUGUCUCCUUUAUUGGCAAAUCCUUUGCUCUGUGAUGGGCCAUAUUGUUAAGAUCUGAAACACCAGUAGUAUCUUUAUGGUCAUUUACAAGAUAUUUAAAUUCUUGGCAAUCUAACAAUAAAUCAUGAUAAGACGCAGAUCGAAUAACCACCCCAUCUGACAUUAACUGCCAAAAAUUAUCACUAGUUUUAGACGAAAUCGACAAAUAUAAAUACGUGCAUGCUACGGGAAUCACAAACUUUAGAACAAGUAUUUCUCAAAUUCACAACUACUCAACUAGCAUGACUCCAAUAUCACCAUCUUCAUAUCUCAAAACAAUCAUCAAGUAUCAAAUUUCUCAUAGUAUUCAAUGCACUUUUUAUGAUAGUUUUUAUUAUAACUAUCUUGGAUGCCUAUCAUAUUAGGAAUAAUUUUAUAGCCAAAGCAAAUUACCAUGCAGUUCUAAAAGACUCUCAAAAUGAUAUAAGUCAAGCAUGAGAGAUCAAUAAUUUCUAUAAAAUAAAACCACCACCGUGUUCUUAAAGAUAUAAGUGAAGCACUAGAGCAAAAUUAUCUAGCUCAAAAGAUAAAAGUGAAGCACAUAGAGUAUUCUAAUAAAUUCUGAUUUAUGUGUGUCUCUCCAAAAGGUGUGUACAGCAAGGAUGAUUGUGGUAAACUAAAAAGCAAAGACUCAAAUCAUACAAGACGCUCCAAGCAAAACACAUAUCAUGUGGUUAAUAAAAAUAUAGCCUCAAGUAAAGUUACCGAUAGACGAAGACGAAAGAGGGGAUGCCUUCCAGGGCAUCUCCAAGCUUAGGCUUUUGGUUUUCCUUGAAUUUUACCUUGGGUGCAUUGGGAAUCCCCAAGCUUAGGCUCUUGCCACUCCUUGUUUCAAAAUCCAUCAAAUCUUUAUCCAAAACUUGAAAACUUCACAACACAAAACUCAACAGAAAAUCUCAUGAGCUCUGUUAGUAUAGGAAAACAAACCACCACUUCAAGGUACUAUAAUGAACUCAUUCUUUAUUUAUAUUGGUGUUAAACCUACUGUAUUCCAACUUCUCUAUGGUUCAUACCCCCCGAUACUAGCCAUAGAUUCAUCAAAAUAAGCAAACAACACACAAAAAACAGAAUCUGUCAAAAACAGGACAGUGUGUAGUAAUCUGUAGGUUUCGAAUACUUCUGUAACCCCAAAUAUUCUGAAAUAAAUUGGUGGACGUGAGGAAUUUGUCUAUUAAUCAUCUGCAAAAAGAAUCAACGUAAUCGCACUGUCCAAUAAAAAUCGCAGCAAAUCUCGUGAGCGCUAAAGUUUCUGUUUUUUACAGCAAGAUCGCAAAAACUUCCCCCAGGUCUUCCCAAAGGUUCUACUUGGCACAAACACUAAUUAAAAGCAUAAAACCACAUCUAAAUAGAAGCUAGAUGAAUUAUUUAUUACUAAACAGAAUCAAAAAGCAAGAAACAAAAAUAAAAUUGGGUUGCCUCCCAACAAGCGCUAUCGUUUAACGCCCCUAGCUAGGCAUAAAAACAAGAAUAGAUCUAGGUAUUGUUAUCUUUGGUAUGCAAUCCAUAAGUGACUCUCAUAAUAGAUUCAUAAGGUAAUUUAAUUUUCUUUCUAGGAAACUGUUCCAUGCCUUUCCUUAACGGAAAUUGGAAUCUAAUGUUUCCUUCUUUCAUAUCAAUAAUUGCACCAAUCAUUCUAAGAAAAGGUCUACCAAGAAUAAUAGGACAUGUAGGAUUGCAAUCUAUAUCAAGAGCAAUGAAAUUUACGGGCACAUAAUUCCUAUUUGCAACAAUAAGAACAUCAUUAAUCCUUCCCAUAGGUUUCUUAAUAGUGGAAUCCGCAAGGUGCAAAUUUAAAGAACAAUCAUCAAAUUCACGGAAACCUAACACAUCACACAAAGUUUUUGGAAUCGUGGAAACACUAGCACCUAAAUCACAUAAAGCAUAUCAUUCAGGAUCUUUAAUUUUAAUUUUAAUAGUAGGUUACCACUCAUCAUAAAGUUUUCUAGGGAUAAAAACUUCUAAUUCAAGCUUUUCUUCAUAAGAUUUCAUUAAAGCAUCAACGAUAUGUUUGGUAAAAGCUUUAUUUUGAUCAUAAGCAUGAGGAGAAUUUCACACGGAUUGCAACAAGGAAAUACAAUCUAUCAAAGAGGAAUUAUCAUAAUUAAAUUCCUUGAUCCAAAAUAGUGGGUUCAUUGAUAUGUAAAGUUUUGACCUCUUUAAUCCCACUUUUACCAAAUUUUGCAUCAAGAUCUAAAAACUCUAAAUCAUUGGGACGCCUUUUAGCUAAAGUUGACUCAUCUCCAGUCCCAUCAUUAUCAAGAUUCAUAUUGCAAAACAAAGAUUUAAUAGGAGACACAUCAAUCACUUUUAGAUCUUCAUCCUUAUUAUCAUGAAAACAAGAAGAACACACUUUUAUAAGGCAAUCCUUUUUAGCACGCAUCCUAGCGGUUCUUUCUUUGCACUCAUCAAUGGAAAUUCUUAUGGCUUUGAGAGACUCAUUGAUAUCAUGUUUAGGUGGAAUAGAUCUAAGUUUCAAAGAAUCAACAUCAAGAGAAAUUAUAUCCACGUUCCUAGCCAACUCAUCAAUCUUAGGCAAUUUUUCUUCAAGAAAAGCAUUGAAAUUCUUUUGCGAAAUCAUAAAUUCUUUAACACUAGUCUCAAAAUCAGAGGGCAUCUUAUUAAAAUUUCCAUAAGAGUUGUUGUAGGAAUUACCAUAAUUAUUAGAGGAAUUACUAGGAAACGGCCUAGGAUUAAAGUUUCCUCUAUAAGCAUUGUUACCAAAAUUGUUCCUACCAACAAAAUUCACAUCCAUAGAUUCAUUAUUAUUCUCAAUCAAAGUAGACAAAGGCAUAUCAUUAGGAUCAGAAGAAACACUCUUAUUAGCAAAUAAUUUCAUAAGUUCAUCCAUCUUUCCACUCAAAACAUUAAUUUCUUCUAUAGCAUGAACCUUUUUAGUAGUAGAUCUUUUGGUGUGCCAUUGAGAAUAAUUAACCAUAAUAUUAUCUAGGAGUUUGGUAGCUUAUACUAAAGUGAUUUCCAUAAAAGUGCCUCCUGCGGCCGAAUCUAAAAGAUUUCUAGAAGCAAAAUUCAAUCCGGCAUAAAAAAAUUGUAUGAUCUUCCAUAUAUUUAAUCCAUGAGUAGGGCAAUUACGUACGAUUAAUUUCAUCCUCUCCCAAGAUUGUGCAACAUGCUCAUGAUCAAGUUGCUUAAAAUUCAUGAUAUCGUUUCUAAGAGAGAUGAUCUUAGCGGGAGGAAAAUACUUAGAGAUAAAAGCAUCUUUACACUUAUUCCAUGAAUAAUUACUAUUUUUAGGAAAAGACGAAAACCAAGUUUUAGCAUGAUCUCUAAGCGAAAACAGAAAUAGCUUCAAUUUAACAAUAUCAUUAUCCAUAUAUUUCUUCUUUUGCAUAUCACAUAAAUCAACAAAGCUGUUUAUAUGGGUAGCGGCAUCUUCACUAGGAAGACUAGAAAACGGAUCUUUCAUGACAAGAUUCAGCAAAACAGUAUUAAUUUCACAAGAUUCAACAUCGGUAAGAGGAGCAAUCGGAGUGCUAAUAAAAUUAUUAUUGUUGGUAUUGGAGAAGUCACACAAUUUAGUAUCAUCUUGAGCCAUCAUGACAAACAAUCAAUCCAACACACAAGCAAACAAGAGGCAAACAAAAAGAGACGAACUGAAAAGAGGGCGAAUAAAACGGUAAGGGUGAAGUGGGGGAGAGGAAAAUGAGAGACAAAUGGCAAGUAAUGUAAUGCGAGGGAUAAGAGUUUGUGAUGGGUACUUGAUAUGUCUUGACUUGUGCAUAGAUCUCCCCGACAACGGUGCCAGAAAUGGCUUGUUGCGAGAGAUCAAAUCUUGACUUGACUUGGUGCAACCUCCCCGGCAACGGCGCCAGAAAUCCUUCUUGCUACCUCUUGAGCUUGCGUUAGUUUUCCCUUGAAGAGGAAAGAGUGAUGCAGCAUAGUAGCGUAAGUAUUUCCCUCAGUUUUUGAGAACCAAGGUAUCAAUCCAGUAGGAAAUUAUACGCAAGUCGCCUAGUACCUGCACAAACAAACAAGAACCUCGCAACCAACGCGAUAAAGUGGUUUUCAAUCCCUUCACGGCCACUUACGAAAGUGAGAUCUGAUAAAAAUAAUAAGAUCAAUAUUUUUGGUAUUUUUGUUGUAUAGAUUGGAAAAUAAAGAUCGCAAAAUAGAAAUAGCAAGUUGAUAGGAAAAUAAUAUGAUGGAAGAUAGACCCGGGGCCAUAGGUUUCACUAGUGGCUUCUCUCAAGAUAGCAAAUUCUAUGGUGGGUGAACAAAUUACUGCCGAGAAAUUGAUAGAAAAGCGCAUAGUUAUGAGAAUAUCUAGGCAUGAUCAUGUAUAUAGGCAUCACGUUCGCGACAAGUAGACCAAAACGAUUCUACAUCUACUACUAUUACUCCACACAUCAACCGCUAUCCAGCAUGCAUCUAGAGUAUUAAGUUAAUAAGAACAUAGUAACGCAUUAGGCAAGAUGACAUGAUGUAGAGGGAUAAACUCAAGCAAUAUGAUAUAAACCCCAUCUUUUUAUCCUCGAUGGCAACAAUACAAUACAUGCCUUGCUGCCCCUGCUGUCACUGGGAAAGGACACCACAAGAUUGAACCCAAAGCUAAGCACUUCUUCCAUGGUAAGAAAUAUCAAUCUAGUUGGCCAAACCAAACUGAUAAUUCGAAGAGACUUGCAAAGAUAUUGUUCAUAGAUAAUCUAGAUCAUAAACCCACAAUUCAUCGGAUCUCGACAAACACACCGCAAAAAGAAUUACAUCGAAUAGAUCUCCAAGAGAAUCGAGGAGAACUUUGUAUUGAGAUCCAAAGAGAGAGAAGAAGCCAUCUAGCUAAUAACUAUGGACCCGAAGGUCUGUGGUAAACUAUUCACACAUCAUCGGAGAGGCUAUGGUGUUGAUGUAGAAGCCCUCCGUGAUUGAUUCCCCCUCCGACAGAGCGCCCAAAAAGGCCCCAAGAUGGGAUCUCACGGGUACAGAAGGUUGUCACGGUGAAAAUAGGGUUUCGUGGUGCUCCUGAAUAUUUUUGGGGUAUAUAGGUAUAUAUAGGAGGUAGAAGUACGUCGGUGGAGCUGCGAGGGGCCCACGAGGGUGGGAGGCACGCCUACCCCCCUGGGCGCGCCCUCCUGCCUCGUGGCCUCCUCGCUUCUUUCUUGAUGUCCACUCCAAGUAUCCUGGAUCACAUUUGUUCCAAAAAUAACUCUUCUGAACGUUUCAUUCCGUUUGGAUUCCGUUUGAUAUUCCUUUUCUGCUAAACAUUGAAAUAGGCAAAAAACAGCAAUUUGCACUGGGCCUUUGGUUAAUAGGUUAUUCCAAAAAUAAUAUAAAAAGAUAUAUUAAGGCCCAUUAAACAUCUGAAACAGAUAAUAUAAUAGCAUGGAACAAACAAAAAUUAUAGAUACGUUGGAGACGUAUCAAGGAGCAAGUCGGCAACACACGAACUCCACUCCAAGUCUCCAACGCCUCUAUACUGUUGUAGAAGGAAGAAUAUAGAUUAAUCACUAGCUAGAUUAGAUUGAGGACAAAGAAAAGAGAAAUUUAUCUAGAUGUACUUACCUUCCUUUCCUGCAAGCAUCCGGCGGCCCGAUCUGCGAGGUGAGCGAGAAAACGAACCGGCGUGGAGACUGAUGAGGAAUCGCCGCCUCACCGCUGUGCAUGCGUACCUUCUUCGGGCCUCUUGGCAAUUGGGCUUUUGUUGGAAGUUGGAUGAUGGGCCUCUCAGCCUACAGACUUUUCUUUUUUAUUUUCAUUCACGAAUUCAUCAGGGCCUAUAUCAUCUACUACCUGAAAUCUAAAACGUGUGCGCGCGCUAGUUGGAGAAAUCAAGUGACCGCUCUAUCGCAUGCAUGUGUAUAUGUUUUGUCUGCUAGUGCAUGUGAUUGCUGGCAUUAAAUGCGGUCAGACUUGUCACAUGUGAAGAAAAAAUAGAUCCACGCAUAUUUAUUUCUGUUUUCAAAUUUUUAAAAAGUCAUGUCUUUCAAACCACGCACCGAAUUCAGAUCCAUCUUCACCAUUGGAUUCCUCAUGACGAGAUCUUUCAAACUAGAUCCUGCAUGGGUAUGUUUCGACGAAAUGUUUUUAUGCCAACUUUGAUGCUAUAUGGUGCAACUUUAGUACUGUAUUGUGCAACUUUAGUGCAACAUCGUGCAACUUUUUCGGAAACCAAUUUUUAGAUCUGCAUGAUUCAACUUCCUAUGAGAUUGCUAUGUAGCAACUAUGACAACAUUGAUGUGCAACUAGUCUACCGUCUCGACCAAUUACCUAGUAGUCGAUGUGCAACCCUCCUCUCUACAUGUGGAUGUGUAGUUCGUUUACUGUUGGCACACCCUACCCCCUACCCUUGCAAGCAAUAUGUGCAACUUAGUCUAUUAUUCAAUCCAAAUGUCUAUUAGUCAUUGUGCAACUCCUUCCCCUCCCUAUUUGUGGACAUGUACUUUCAGUUGGCGGGGGCAACAAACAGAGUUGCACAUAGUCUGCUAGGUGGUUGGCCAGGGAAACAUACGAAGUUGCACAUCUCAUAGGCAGAGAUAGUCGAAUGGUGAAAAAUUGACAUUCAUGAGGGUAAUGAAAAGUUGCAUAUAAACAGAGUGCUAAAGUUAUAAAUCUCACUAGCAGGGGUGGUUUGGGCCGGGUGAUAGUAGGGAAACUACACAUCCAUGGGGGUAUGAGAGAAAGUGCACAUCACUGUUAGAUAGUUGGCCGUUGCAGUAUUCGAAGUUUCACAUCCACUGUUAGUAUGUUGGCCGAUGCAGCAAACAGUGAAGCACAUCCACGGGCGGGGGAAAGUUGCACAUCAACUACUAUGAAGUUGGCCUGGGCAACAUACGAAGUUGCACAUCUCACUGGAAGGAGGCAGUUUGGGGCUGGAGGUACCAUAAAGGAAAAUUGCAUGUCUACAGUGUAGGAGAAAAGUUGCACAUCUCUAAGGUAGUUGCACAUCGACGACUAGCCAGUUACACAAAACAUGGACAAAAUUACACAAAAAAAUUCCGUCGAAACAUACCCAUGCUGGAUCUAGUUUUGAAGAGCACGCCGUGAGGGUUCCAACAGUGAAAACGGAUCUUAAUUUCGAUGCGCUGCUCGAAAGUUAUGGUUUUUUAAAAUUUAAAAACACAAAUUAAAUGGGUUCACAUAUAUUCACGUGAAUACAUUGCAAUUAUUUAUCUUGUUCACACAUGUCCAUACCUGUUCACUUUGCCUAAUAUGGAUUAGGGAGAGAAAAUAUUUCAUUUUUUGGCCGGCCACCGCGGAGCGCUAGCGGGCCAACGGCCACCUGCUAGACCAGUCCCAUCUACUAUACACACACUGCAGCACGGGUCGGGGCCCCUAGUUUGGCUAGGCCCGGGUCGUCGCCCCUGCUGCCCUGGCCCAGGGCCGGCCCUGACCGGAAGUUUCAACUUUCUUUCUGGAAAAAGGUGGCCCGCAAAUCGACACGCCUGACCUUAUCAUACCGUUGUCACACUGGGCUUAGCGACCUCGCCUUGAUUGCUAAAUUUGAUCUGCUGGGGCCCGAUGGGUUGUUUUCAGGGCAGUCGUGUCGAACUUGGGCAGUUGUUAAUUUGUGAGCCAAAUCCUAACUGAUACGAGCAGUUUUUAAUGUGUGAAGCACAAUUCAACUGCUGAUGAGGCAGAGUGUUUUUGUGGGUUCUGGCAUGUCUUUUUUCUUUUCUUUCACAAGCAUGCCAAUUUGUACAUUCUUUUCUUUAUGAGAAGACAAUGCUCAUGCCAGUUGCGGGAAAAAACUUUCAAUACUCCCAAAUUGCUAUAUGCGUUUAUGCUGCCACUGAAGGUAAGCAUGAAGGCAAAUGGAACAUAAAUGUCAAUAAUACUCAAAUCAGAAGAGACCUCAGGGGACGGGGGUGAUUGUGGUGGAUAAUCCAUCAGUAGAAAAUGAGUGUGAAACAUAAAUGUAUUAUCAUAAUUGUCAUGUGUUUAUUUAUUUUUACCUGGCUAAGAACCAUGUCUAGAGGAGUAGAAUCAAAGGACAUGGGUGUUUGGGACAAUGGAAUGAGCAACUGCAAAAAUAAGGAUCUUCAAGUCUAGAUGCCAAUACCGAUCAAUAAUGAUCACGAUAGUACAAAGAAAAUUGUGCAAAAUCUGAUAAUAAUAUAAACAUAAGUUAAUUUCAGUGUACUACACGAGCAUUUUAGACAUUGGCAGCCAUCUAUGAAUUCAGUGAUAUUUUCCCAGCAAAGAAAUUUCGGUUGUGUUGAUUUCUUUUCACUUUCAGUUCAACAAAGUUUUCAUCAAGAAAGAAAGGUUUGUGAGCUUUACAUCCAUGGUUGUCCCUUACUCUAGUUCAUGUCAAUGAUAUAUAUGAUCCGAUAUUUCUUAUAAACUGCAAUUUUUGAACAAGUUUGUGAAGAAACCAAACUUUUGCGAAGAAGAAUCAUACUAUUUCUAUUUAACAUUUCUUUAUGAUGUAUAAAUUGGAUACGGUGUGUUUCUCCUACAUUUUUGUAUGCGGCCUACAUGAAUACACAAAGAAGGUUUACAAUAACAAGAUACGAGUUUAGGUGGUAUCCGCAACAAAGUCUUGUAUCACAGUCCUUACAACAACCGGAAUUCGAACUGAGUGGGUACUUCCGUCUGACCAUGUCAAGCUCCCGAAAGUGUAUCCUCCUUGCACUCUCUGACUUGUGGUGAAUGUCACCAUAAAUGUUGCGCUUCUACUGCUUCCUUUGGUGAAAGUAAUCACAGAUGGUUCUACCGACACAUCUAUCCCUGCUGGAGCUUCAACCACUAAAUGAUAUGUUGCUUCCGCUGGCCCAACGUUAGUCACAGUGUGCCGAAGCAUGACAUGGUCCUUGAGGUCCGGCACGACAAUUGACGGGAGGUUGAGAUUGAGGUAGUAGGACUCACAACCAUCUAAAUAUCCAAGAGUGCAGUUCAAAAACUUGUUGUACUCUCUUGCAUCCACGUCAUAAACCAAGCCAGGGUCAACAGCUCUAUCUGGGUCUAUGUGUCCACCACCAAAGUCGAAGGGGUCAGCUAGUUUCCUUGGGACCGCUUCUGCUUGGAUUGGCAUGCCAAAACAAUCAGUCACAGAUGCUGCAACCAAGACAAGAAACAAUCAAAUCAGUUUUAUAUUUUGACGAAUUGUUUUCAUGUAUUUUUUGUAUUUCAAUGUUCACACCUGUGGUGACGAUGGCAGACUUGAUCAAGGCAGGUGACCAGCCAGGGUGAACCGACUUGAGCAGUGCGGUCACAGCGGAGACAUGCGGGCACGCCAUGGAUGUCCCGGAUUUGAACACGCAGGAGUCGCGGUCCGCUGCCUAGAUGCUGACGCCAGGUGCAGCAAUGUCGGGCUGUUCAAACAUGUGUAUUGAGAAUUAGUUAAGAAGUCAUAAGUUAAGAAAAAUUAGGAAGGCUAGGUAACAAACAAGACAAUGGCAACAAUUGUCUCAAGUUAAGAAAUUGAGAAUGAUAUAUACCUUGAGUGUGCUAGGGAACAACAUGCUUGGACCUCUCGACGAGAAUGAGGCGACCCUCGGCACCAACACCCCUUUUCUGACAACGGUCAUGGUAGGUGACACCUUCAGCACCGCAUUCCUAGCAUGACACAUGACUGGCAUGAGUUUCCGGAGAAGAAGAAAACGCAUUCAAGUCUGUUUCAAACAACACGACAUGCACUCACCCUUUGUCCCAACUCCAAUAGGAGGCAAUUCGUUGUGCGAUCUCAAAAUCCACCACUACACAGGGCAUAACGCCCCUACACAAAGGCAGGAAGUCGAGGAGGUUAGUAGUGUACUGUGCAAAUAUGAGGCACUUGGCGCCAGCCAUGGUGGUGAGAUUGAUGGCUAUGGGAAGUGCUUGUCGAGGUGGCAUGCUUCUCGCCGCCACGGGUUGAUAGCAUAGGACGAUUUUACCGGUGACGUUGCUCAAUGCCAGUGACGACUCCGUGUCACAGCUGCGCAGAAGUUGUAAUUCAGUAUAGUUGAUAAAACACUGAAUCGUGGUUACAAAAGUGGACAACUACAACAAAUGGGUCAAGUGAUUACAGAUGCAUAACUACAGAAGUUUUAUUUCAUUACCUCCCGGCAUAAACAAGGUCUUUAAAGUUGCCGCUGAUCACAGAUGCAUUGUUGUGAAGAGAUUGCCCCUGUAUUUCGAAUCAAGCACACAUUAAUAAGUAAUUAAAGGAAUCAGGGAAAGCUGGCUUCAGGGACGAGCUAAAUGUACUUUUUGUUUGUUUCCAUGCUCUGAGACGAAUCAAGUUAAUUUAUCAAAAACUAUAAAACCAAUUUUAUAGCCCCGGAUCUAUCAUUUCCUCAGACCAAAUAAAUACUUGGAGAAUGUUUGUUUGUAGCAUGCACGUAUCACAAGCUUUUCUUUGUUUCCGAGCGAUAUCAAGGUCGGGAAAGACCGGUCAAUUGUGCUAGCGGCCACCGUCGUAACCCACGAUAGGGCAUUAGCCACCGUUUGUGGCACAUGGCCAUCAUUCCCUCCGGCGAACACGAUAGAGAUCCCUCUUUGCACAGCAUGCAGCGUCCCAGAAAACUCGUGACCAGCCCCAGCAAUCGAGAGCGACAAGACGUCCACACCGUCAUGCAUAGCAUCAUCGAUAGCCGCGAGGACCGCUGCUUCAGGGCAACUCCCACCCAACCAACACACCUUGUAGAUACUGAGCCGCACACGUGGCGCCCCGCCGCGUGCCACGCCCAUGCCUAGGCCUCCGUAGCUCACGCCCUGCACUUCCCUGCCGGCGAUGGUCGACGCGAUGUGUGUGCCAUGGCCUUCAAUGUCCCUAGGCGACUUAUAGUUUCUGUUUAGCACCUCGUCACUGAUUCCACGCCCAUACCACCGCGCACCGAUGAUCUUUUUGUUGCAACUUGUGGUGUUGAAAUCCUGACCAGUCUGGCAUUUCCCUUUCCACCGUGCCGGCACAGGGCCAUACCCAUUGUCAUCAAAGCUUCGUGAUUCAGGCCAUAUGCCUAUAAAUAAGCAUGGUAAUCAAUUGAUGUGUGUGCCAUGGCCUUCAAUGUCCCUAGGCGACUUAUAGUUUCUGUUUAGCACCUCGUCACUGAUUCCACGCCCAUACCACCGCGCACCGAUGAUCUUUUUGUUGCAACUUGUGGUGUUGAAAUCCUGACCAGUCUGGCAUUUCCCUUUCCACCGUGCCGGCACAGGGCCAUACCCAUUGUCAUCAAAGCUUCGUGAUUCAGGCCAUAUGCCUAUAAAUAAGCAUGGUAAUCAAUUGAUUCGGUAUCGGAGUUUCUCAUAUUCAGGAUUUAAGCUUGAGGGGUCGGACUGCAAACCUGUAUCGAUCACACCCACGAUGACAUCUUCACCAUACUUUGCUUUUUUGAGUAGGCCCGGUUGUUGUCUUGGUUGGUUAUGGUCAAGGCCAAGAAAGUCCCAGCUCCGAGUUGUGUGCGUUUCGUGAUAAGUGUUAGGCUUCACAGUGACAACUUCUGGGAAUUCUACACCCAAAAUAUGUUGAUUAGUUCUUGUCAGUCAUGCAAGUAGAUACGAUGAUAGGUAGGAGCCUAUAGGACUGACAAUCACUUACUUGCGAUUGUCUCAGCCUGAGACUCGGUGAGCAUCGCCGCAAAACCAGAAAAUCCAUGCUUGUAACUGUAAACUAUCGACCUCAAGGCUUCAUCCUUGCUGUUGUCAAGUAAAAUGAGGGUGAGCAAAUCACGACUAAUACGUCGACGAUGCAACAUGAACUCCUCAUUGUUUUUGUUUUGAACAAAAUGAAUUGGUAGCUAGUUACCGUACCUCCCAAAAACAGAGGUUAGCAUGUCACGGUGAGACACGGUGACCAUGGAUGGGUCAUCAUGCUUCUUCUCCCCCAUAUACACGAUGUAGAGCUCAAAUUCAUUUUGUCGCAUAAGUUCUCAACAAAAAACAGAUAUCAGGAAAGAAAGCAAAUUGAGAGAGGACUCGGGUGUGUAUCUUACUUUACUCGACGCGUUAGCUGAAACAGGCAGCAGUAUUACCAGCAGUAGGAGAGCGCCGCUGUAACGCCCCGGAUAUAACUUUCCCAAUUUGUACUCCGACUCUUGCCGUUUCCGGCGUUAAGUUAUUUGAUUUUCUCGGGUUCGGGUCUUUGUCUUUGUGUGUUGUUAUUGAUGUCAUGCAUCUCAUAUCAUGUCAUCAUGUGCAUUGCAUUUGCAUACGUGUUCAUCUCAUGCAUUCGAGCAUUUUCCCCAUUGUCCGUUUUGCAUACCGGCGCUUCGUUCUCCUCUGGUGGUCAUUUCUAACUUUCUUUCGUGUGUGGGGAUUAAACAUUUCUGGAUUAAACAUCUCCUUGGUUUACUACCGGUAGACCGCCUGUCAAGUUUCGUAUCAUUUGGACUUCGUUUGAUACUCCAACGGUUAACCGAGGGACCGAAAAGGCCUCGUGUGUGUUGCAGCCCAACACCCUUCUUCUUUUGGCCCAAAACCCACCAAACUCUGAUCCAUCAUCUAGAUCGUUCGAUCACGAUUGCGUGGCCGAAAACCGCACCUUAUUUGGACUCUCCUAGCUCCCUCUAUGCCUAUAUAUACCUCCCCCAUUCCAAAUCUGGAUCCCCUCUCUUUGAACCCUAAAAAAAGAUCCCCUAGCCGCCGGACGUGUCCGGACGGGGCCGGACAACGUCCGCCCGCCACCGCCGCCCAACCUCGUUCUGCCACGUGGCGGGGCGCGUGCCCACAUAGCCGCCGGCCCGGGCAGGCCCGCACCGGGUCCUCCAAGCCCAUCGGGUGCCGCCGCCCUUCGCCCGCCGNNNNNNNNNNNNNNNNNNNNNNNNNNNNNNNNNNNNNNNNNNNNNNNNNNNNNNNNNNNNNNNNNNNNNNNNNNNNNNNNNNNNNNNNNNNNNNNNNNNNNNNNNNNNNNNNNNNNNNNNNNNNNNNNNNNNNNNNNNNNNNNNNNNNNNNNNNNNNNNNNNNNNNNNNNNNNNNNNNNNNNNNNNNNNNNNNNNNNNNNNNNNNNNNNNNNNNNNNNNNNNNNNNNNNNNNNNNNNNNNNNNNNNNNNNNNNNNNNNNNNNNNNNNNNNNNNNNNNNNNNNNNNNNNNNNNNNNNNNNNNNNNNNNNNNNNNNNNNNNNNNNNNNNNNNNNNNNNNNNNNNNNNNNNNNNNNNNNNNNNNNNNNNNNNNNNNNNNNNNNNNNNNNNNNNNNNNNNNNNNNNNNNNNNNNNNNNNNNNNNNNNNNNNNNNNNNNCCGCGCAGCCGCAAGGCCCCACCGCCGAGGCCGCCCCGCUCCGGUCGGCCUCCUCCAACUCCGGCCUCCUCCUCCCCUCACUCCGGCGGUUCUUGCUAUAGUAACUCCGGCGAACAUCGAAGAACGUGCCAGAUCUGAGAUCUAAAAUCUCGAGGGUUGACUUUUUGCCUGAAACCCUAGUUCAUAUGCUCCUGUUCAUCGCAUCGUAACUUUGCAUCCGUAGCUCCGAUUCAUGCAUAUAGCAUAUCAAAAUGUUCGCCUCAGAGAGUACAUCAUUUCAUUCCAUUGCAUCAUUUUCAUUUGAGUUCAUCUUGAUGCCCGAAAUGUUGUUAGAAGAGGGCUACUUGAGUUAAUUGUCAGAUCUGCUACUCCAUCUUAGGCAUUUAUCAUUUUUGUCAUGAUUAAUGUGUGCAUGAUAUGCCCAUGAGCUCUACAUAUGUUUUGUUAAGGGUUUUGUCAUCUUUCCAGAGGUGCAACCCAUGUAUUUUUUGUGAUGUGUGUGGUGACUAGUGCAAGCUUGCAAAGUGAGGCACUCGGUAACUCCGUUUUCAGGAACUUGGUAAUUUCACUAAGUCCUGGGAUUGUUUAGUUCAUGAUGCCACAUGUUCGUGUUGUUUCCUAGUGAUCCGUGCCUCUUUUGAGGAUGAUCAGUAAAGGAGUUUUGUCAUUAUUGUAGUGUUGUAUCCAUCCAUGUCUUUGUUUGCAAUUAUGGAGCACCCUACCUUGAGUCAAUCAAGCUCUACUUUUGCUUCGUUGUGAAUCUGGGCAGAUUGUCAACUUGUUUGCAAUUUUGCCGGAGAUGUUGUAGUUGAUCCGUGCAUGCUAUGCUAUUGUUCUUGCCAUGUAUAGCUUACAUUUUGUGCCUUCUUAGUGGAUGUAUGCUUGUAUUUCCAUGACUUGCACCGUAGUGAGUGCAUCAAGCUCGUAAACAUGCCUACUUGAGUUAAGUUUCAGCAUGUGUCAGUUUUCACUAAGUCUGAAAACUCAUUAUGUUUUUGCUAUGUUCGUGUGCUUGUUAGUAUAUUUUCGGAUCCCUUUUGGCUCAAGGUCACUAAGGGACUUUUGUUAAGCUUGUUGAGUAGCUCAAUGCCAUGUUCUUCUUUGCCAUGUUCAGGUCCUAUAAUAUGUUGUUUUGUUGCUCCGAAGAGGGCUAUAUGAUCUGAAAUUUCAAACAAGUGUUAAUUUCACUAAGUCUGAGAUCUGUUUUCCAUUUGUGUUUUUGUCAUGCUUGUUUGAACCUGUUAAUGGAUGAUUUGGCCGUAGCUCAGUGCUAGACUUUUGUCAAGCAUCUUGAAUGCUUCCCUGCCAUGUUUGGAUGCUGUAGCAUGUUUAUUUCAUUGCAUUUAGGUGCCUACUUGCUGUAAAUCGCAGACUGGUGUCAUAUUUGAAUCGCUUGCCAUUUCCAAACCGUAACUCCGAUUCCGGCGAUCUUUAUAUAGUUUUCAAGCGAUUUCAUCUCAUCUUUCCAGUCGCACACUUGGAAUUCCAAGUUGAGGCCAGGUUCAUGCAUUUCCUGUCAUAUCUUGCAUAUGCAUCCCGCAUCGCAUCCCGCAUAGCAUAUCGUCAUUGCAUCAUAUUGUUUGAGUUUGCACGUGGUUGAUUGUAUCCUUGUUGCUUGUUUGUCUUGUUUUGGUAGAGCCGGGAGACGAGUUUGCUAAUGAGGAGCCCGUUGAGUUUGCUUUCGAGGAUCCAGUCAACUCUGACAGCUUUGCAGGCAAGAUGAUCAUACCCUCGAAAUCACUACUAUCUUUGCUAUGCUAGUUUGCUCGCUCUUUUGCUAUGCCAAUGCUACGAUGCCUACCUUUGUUUGUCAGCCUCCCGAAUUGCCAUGUCAAACCUCUAACCCACCAUGUCCUAGCAAACCGUUGAUUGGCUAUGUUACCGCUUUUCUCAGCCCCUCUUAUAGCGUUGCUAGUUGCAGGUGAAGAUUGAAGGUCGUUCCUUGUUGGAACAUUUAUUUACUUGUUGGGAUAUCAUUAUAUUGCCAUGUUAUCUUAAUGCAUCUAUAUACUUGGUAAAGGGUGGAAGGCUCGGCCUCUCGCCCAGUGUUUUGUUCCACUCUUGCCGCCCUAGUUUGCGUCAUAUUGGUGUUAUGUUCCCGGAUUUUGCGUUCCUUACGCGUUUGGGUUAUAAUGGGAACCCCUUGAUAGUUUGCCUUGAUUAAAGCUUUUCCAGCAAUGCCCAACCUUGGUUUUACCAUUUGCCACCUAGCCUCUUUUCCCUUGGGUUUCUGGAGCCCGAGGGUCAUCUUAUUUUAGCCCCCCGGGCCAGUGCUCCUCUGAGUGUUGGUCCGAACCAGGCAGCCUGCGGGGCCACCUCGGGGAAACUCGAGGGUUGGUUUUACUCGUAGCUUGACCUAUCUGAGUGUGCCCUGAGAACGAGAUAUGUGCAGCUCCUAUCGGGAUUCGUCGGCACAUUCGGGCGGUGUUGCUGGUUUAGUUUUAACCUGUUGAAAUGUCUUGAAGAACCGAGAUACCGAGUCUGAUCGGAACGUCUUGGGAGGAGGUCUAUUCCUUCGUUGACCGUGAGAGCUUGUCAUGGGCUAAGUUGGGACUCCCCUGCAGGGAUUGAACUUUCGAAAGCCGUGCCCGCGGUUAUGGGCAGAUGGGAAUUUGUUAAUGUCCGGUUGUAGAUAACUUGAACCUUAAUUUAAUUAAAAUGAAUCAACCGUGUGUGUUACCGUGAUGGCCCCUUCUCGGCGGAGUCCGGGAAGUGGACACGGUGUUGGAGUAAUGUUUGCGCAGGUUGCUCUCUAGUUUCUCGCUCGCGCUUUGCCUCCUCUUCUCCCUCUCUUUUGCGAAUAAGUUAGCCACCAUAUAUGCUAGUCGCUUGUUGCAGCUCCACAUAUAUUUACCUUACCCUACCUAUAAGCUCAAAUAGUCUUGAUCGCGAGGGUGCGAGAUUGCUAAGUCCCUGUGGCUCACAGAUUACUAUUACACCAGAUGCAGGUCCAGGUGAUUCCGCUCCAGGUGACGCGUACGAGCUCAAGUGGGAGUUCGACGAGGACUCUUAGCGUUACUAUGUUUCCUUUCCUGAUGAUCAGUAGUGGUGCCCUGUUGGGGGUGAUCGGGACCAUGUCGCUUGUUGGGUUAUCUUUCAUUUUGGUGCCAUAGUCGGGUCAUGAGUGUUUGAAUGAUGUAUGUUAUUUAUGUACUUGAUUGACGUGGCGAGUGUAAGCCAACUAUGUUAUCCCUUUUCAUUAUCUUUAUUACAUGGGAUGUUUGUGAUGAUUACCUGACUUGCGACAUAUGCCUUCAAUGCGAUUAUGCCUCUAAGUCGUGCCUCGACACGUGGGAGAUAUAGUUGCAUCGAGGGUGUUACAAGUUGGUAUCAGAGCCUUCCCCGACCUUAGGAGCCCCAUUGCUUGAUCGUUUUUAGCGGCCGAGUUGUGUCUAGAAAAAAUGUUUUGAGUCAUUUAGGAAUUAUAGAUCGGAGAGUUUAGGAAUUCUUUUUACUUCCCAGUCUCCUCAUCGCUCUGGUAAGUCAUCCUGACGUAGAGUUUUGAAUCUUCUCUUCUCAAAUUUCACUAAAAAAAAUUUAGGAUCACGCGGGUAUCUUGGAAUCGUUUCGAUGGUUUUAUGAUGAGAACAUUGUCUUGGUGCCUCCUGUCAGGGGUUUAGUGGAAGUGUCCCGGGGAGUUGAGCUCUGAGGUGUUGUCAUCAUAAUUUUAUCGUUGCAAUUCUGGAAUACUUGAGUUUAGUACGCCGACAUCGAAAAUCUCUUUUAUGCAGUUCGUUGGUGAGAUAACCUCGACGCCACCCAGUACUGGGGCGGGAGUUCGGGAGUAUCGCCAUAACUUGUAUAACGGAUGCUUUUUGAAGGUUGAGGUAGAUGGUUUCCGAAGGUUUCUUGGUUAUGUGUUGAAGGAUGGAUACAGCUGGAUGUAGGAUUUGCUAGAUUCGGGUGAGAUAUUAUGCUUCCCCUGUAUCCCCAACACCUGAUUGCAUAACCGGAAAGGUUCGGGAGUUUCAUAGGUGGGAAUUCUCGUAGCUCUAGUUCUUCUUCCAUGGAUAUUGGUUUGAGAUUGGGAUUUCUUACCGAUUAUUCGUUCUUGAGCCGUACCUUGUUGAUUUAUUUAUCUACCUUCAUUCUACGUGGCUUCGCAAUUUAUGGAUAUGUGACCAUUUCAAGAGGAAUGCAUUCGUUCAAUUUGUUCGGAUGUGAAUACUUUAUGUUGCGAUUUUCUUUCCGUUGGAUUCAGCUUCAUUUUUCUGUCUAUGUGCUAACGGUGGUCAACCUCUUCAGGAUGGCUCCCGCUAAGAGCACCAGUCAGAAUCAGAAUCAAGAUCCGCCACCACCUCCACCUCCUCCGGAGGCAUGGAAAGCUGUGAUGGCCGCAACCAAUGCAAACACACAGUUGAUCAUGCAAAUUCUCCAAGAGCGCAAUCAAGGCAGUCAAGGGAAUCAAUGCAGCAAUCAGAAUCACUUUGCUACACUGAACCAGUUCCUUGCUAAUGGGCCAAAGACGUUCAGCAAUUGUGUUGAGGCAUUCGAUGCUGACGAUUGUCUUGUAGAUCUGUGUAAGCAUUUUGAGUGCAGCAACGUCAGGCCUGAAGAUUUCGUCAAGUUUGCUUCCUUCCAACUCAAAGAUCAAGCUGCAGAAUGGUUCCAGCAGUACAAGGAUUCUAGAGGUGGACGUCUGAUCACUUGGGAUGAAUUCCGUCAAGAUUUUCGAGCUCAUCACAUCCCUCAGAGCGUGGUUGAAAGUAAGCGUGAGGAAUUCUGCAACUUGAAGCAAGGCUCUAUGUCUGUCUAUGACUACAACAAGUUGUUCCAGAAGCUCGCCGUUUUGCCAAGCAGGACGUACCUGAUGAGAAGAGCAUGAUAUACCAGUUCAGGGGUGGCCUCAGAGAAGAAAUUCAGCUCGCUCUUGUCCUCUUUGAGCCGUUGAGAUACAAUGAGUUCUACAACAUGGCAUUGAAGCAAGAGGCUGCUCAGUUGAGGUGUGAUGCUUCCAAGAAGCGAGUCAGAGAUGCUACUCCUUCCUCUACUCAAGUGGCCAAGCAGCAGAAGUAUUGUCUUCCUCCUCCUCCGUUCCGUCAGCCGUAUCAGCAGAAGAAUAAAGGUGGCAGUGGUUCUUCCCACCCACUCAACCCUGGCUUUCAGAACAAGACUUCGUCACAACCUCCAAGAUUGAGUGCUCCGUACCACUUUCCGCUCUCAGAGGUCAAGUGCAACAAGUGCCAAGAAAAGGGUCACUAUGCCAACAAGUGUUUCAACCAGAGGCGCCUUCCUCCUCCUCCUGUGAGAUCGGCAAGUACAGCUGUGGUCAAGCAUAACCCCAAGCACGCCAAGGUCAACUUAAUGAACGCAGCUCAGGCAGAGGAUUCAUCAGAUGUCAUCAUGGGUAACCUUCCUGUUAACGAUGUUCCCGCAAAAGUUCUUUUUGACACUGGUGCAUCGCAUUGUUUCAUGUCAAAGCCAUUUUUUACCAAGCAUGAGUUCGUUUCUUCUCAUUUGGGUAAAAAAAUGGAUAUCGUUUCUCCUGGCAAACGUUUGAGUGCAAGUCUGGAGGUGCCAGAUGUCACUAUCACAUUGGGCGACUACAAGUUCCUUUCUUCCCCAAUGGUUCUUGGCAACUCGGAUAUUGAUCUUAUUCUCGGAAUGGAUUGGCUUUCUAAGCACAAGGCACAUCUUGAUUGUGCAGCCAGGCAGAUUCAAUUGACUCAUUCGUCUGAGGAUGUAAUUGUCUUUGCCGCUCGGGAUAAUACCAUCCGUCUGUUUUCUCUCAAUGAGAAGGGUGAAUUUGAUGCUAUCUCGCAAAUUCCAGUCGUUUGCGAAUAUCAAGACGUCUUUCCAGAAGAGCUCCCAGGAAUGCCUCCGCACCGGCCAGUAGAAUUCGUUAUUGAUCUUGAGCCUGGUACGGAACCUGUGUGCAAACGUCCUUACAAGCUCGGACCUGAAGAGUUGAAGGAGCUGAAGAAGCAACUCGAUGAGCAAGAGAGAAUGGGUCUCAUCUGGCCUAGUUCGUCUCCGUGGGGUUGUGGUGUUCUUUUUGUGAAGAAGAAGGAUGGAACGGACCGACUUUGUGUUGAUUACCGUCCAUUGAACAAGAAGACCAUCAAGAACAAAUACCCACUUCCCAACAUCAAUGAGCGUUCGAACAACUCAAAGGUGCUCAAGUAUUCUCCAAGCUUGAUCUCUGUAUGGGUUAUCAUCAGAUUCGUAUCUGUGAGCAAGAUAUUCCCAAGACGGCUUUCAGGAUAAGCUUUGGUUCUUAUGAAUACACUGUCAUGUCUUUUGGCCUCGUCAACGCUCCUCCGACUUUCUCUCGCAUGAUGAACUUCAUCUUCAACGCCUACACCAAUGACUUCGUUUUGGUCUAUCUCGACAACAUUCUGGUUUUCUCGAAGAACAAGGAAGAUCAUGCCAAACACUUGCGUUUGGUUCUCGAUAAGCUCAGGGAACAUCAAUUCUAUGCCAAGUUCUCCAAGUGUGAAUUUUGGCUCAAUGAGGUUCUUUAUCUUGGUCAUAUCAUCUCUGCCAAGGGCAUUGCCGUGAAUCUUGAGAAGGUGUCUGCAAUUGUGAAUUGGGAACCUCCUCAGAACGUGAAGCAACUCCGCAGUUUCCUCGGUCUCGCAAGCUAUUGUCGAAGAUUCGUUGAAAACUUUUCUAAGAUCGCGAAGCCUCUCUCUAAUCUUCUUCAGAAGCACGUCAAGUACGUUUGGUCUCCGGAGUGUGAUAUUGCUUUCAACACUUUGAAAGAGAAAUUGGUCACUACUCCAGUUCUGACUCCGCCUGACGAAUCCAAACCAUACGAGGUCUUUUGUGAUGCCUCUCUCCAAGGUCUUGGCGCAGUAUUGAUGCAAGAGAAGAAAGUUGUUGCUUAUACCUCUCGCCAGUUGAAGCCUAAUGAGAAGAACUACCCCACUCAUGAUCUCGAGUUGGCGGCAGUUGUGCAUGCUCUUUUGACUUGGAGACAUCUUCUAUUGGGAAGAAAAGUGGAUAUAUUCACUGAUCACAAGUGUCUCAAGUACAUCUUCACUCAGCCUAAUCUCAACCUCGGGCAAACUCGAUGGGUCGAAAUGAUUCAAGAGUAUAAUCCGAGUAUCGAGUAUACUCCAGGCAAGGCCAAUGUGAUUGCUGACGCUUUGAGCAGGAAAGCUUAUUGCAACAGUCUGAUUCUAAAGCCUUAUCAACCCGAGCUUUGUGAAGCUUUCCGCAAACUUAAUCUGCAAGUUGUUCCUCAAGGUUUCCUCGCCAACCUUCAAGUCUCUCCUACCUUGGAAGACCAAAUUCGCCAAGCCCAGCUUCUUGAUGCUAUGGUGAAGAAGGUGAAGAUUGGGAUUGCUAAGAGUCAACCCAAGUACAAGUGUUGCCGCCUUGAUGACAAGGAUACUCUCUUCUUCGAGGAUCAAAUUGUUGUACCCAAAGGUGAACUUCGUAAAGUGAUUAUGAACGAGGCUCACAAUUCUCUCCUCUCCAUCCACCCUGGGAGUACGAAGAUGUAUCAGGGCCUCAAGCAAGCUUAUUGGUGUACUCGAAUGAAGUGCGAGAUCGCUCAAUUCGUGAAUGAAUGUGAUGUCUGCAGAAGAGUGAAGGCAGAACACCAAAGGCCAGCAGGUCUCCUCCAACCUCUUGCCUUUCCAGAAUGGAAGUUUGACCACAUUGAAAUGGACUUCAUGACUGGGUUUCCAAAGUCCAAGCGUGGCAAUGAUGCUAUAUUUGUUGUCAUCGACAAACUCACCAAAGUGGCUCACUUUCUGCCUAUCAAAGAGUCGAUCACUAUAGCUCAAUUGGCGGAACUCUAUACCUCUCGAAUUGUCUCUCUGCACAGUAUCCCUCAAGUGAUAUCUUCAGACCGUGGCAGCAUCUUUACCUCCAAGUUUUGGGAUUCUUUUCAGAAGGCCAUGGGCACCAACAUCCGCUUCAGCACAGCUUUCCAUCCUCAAACAAGCGGUCAAGUUGAGCGUGUCAACCAGAUUCUUGAAGGUAUGCUCAGGGCUUGUGUGAUCUCCUUUGGCAUGAAGUGGGAGGAUUGUCUUCCUUAUGUUGAAUUCUCCUACAACAACAGUUUUCAAGCAAGUUCGGGCAAGGCCCCAUUUGAAAUUCUAUAUGGCAGGAAGUGCCGUACCCCUCUCAAUUGGUCUGAAACCGGUGAACGUCAGCUUUUGGGCAAUGACUUAAUCACAGAAGUAGAGGAAAUGUGCAAAGUCAUUCGUGAUAACCUCAAAGCAGCCCAAUCCCGCCAGAAGAGCUACUAUGAUAGUAAGCACCGUGAUUUGGCUUUCGAGAUCGGAGAUCAUGUUUACCUCCGCGUCUCUCCUAUGAAAGGUACUCGUCUCUUUGGUAUCAAAGGGAAGCUUGCCCCUAGAUACGUGGGACCUUUCAAGAUUAUCAGCAAGAGAGGCGACCUCGUCCAUCAACUCGAGCUUCCUUCAAACUUUGCAAAUGUUCAUGAUGUGUUCCAUGUCUCUCACCUUCGGAAGUGCUUCAGGACUCCUGACCGCACAGUCAACUUCGAGGACAUUGAGCUCCAAGAAGAUCUCUCCUAUCGUGAGCACCCAGUUGCUAUUCUUGAAGAGACUGAACGCAAGACUCGCAACAAGUCAAUCAAAUUUCUCAAAAGUCAAGUGGUCACACCAUUCCGACCGUGAAGCUACAUGGGAAUGCGAGGAUCACCUCCGUUCUGAGUACCCGGCGCUCUUUCAGUCCUAGAUCUCGGGACGAGAUCCUUUCGUAGUGGUGGAGUGUUGUAACGCCCCGGAUAUAACUUUCCCAAUUUGUACUCCGACUCUUGCCGUUUCCGGCGUUAAGUUAUUUGAUUUUCUCGGGUUCGGGUCUUUGUCUUCGUGUGUUGUUAUCGUUGUCAUGCAUCUCAUAUCAUAUCAUCAUGUGCAUUGCAUUUGCAUACGUGUUCAUCUCAUGCAUUCGAGCAUUUUCCCCGUUGUCCGUUUUGCAUACCGGCGCUUCGUUCCCCUCCGGUGGUCAUUUCUAGCUUUCUUUCGUGUGUGGGGAUUAAACAUUUCCGGAUUGGACCGAGACUUGUCAAGCGGCCUUGGUUUACUACCGGUAGACCGCCUGUCAACUUUCGUAUCAUUUGGACUUCGUUUGAUACUCCAACGGUUAACCGAGGGACCGAAAAGGCCUCGUGUGUGUUGCAUCCCAACACCCCUCUUCUUUUGGCCCAAAACCCACCAAACUCUGCUCCAUCAUCUAGAUCGUUUGAUCACGAUCGCGUGGCCGAAAACCGCACCUCAUUUGGACUCUCCUAGCUCCCUCUAUGCCUAUAUAUACCUCCCCCAUUCCAAAUCUCAGAUCCCCUCUCUCUGAACCCUAAAAAAAAGAUCCCCUCGCCGCCGGACGUGUCCGGACGGGGCCGGACAACGUCCGCCCGCCACCGCCGCCCAACCUCGUUCUACCACGUGGCGGGGCGCGUGCCCNNNNNNNNNNNNNNNNNNNNNNNNNNNNNNNNNNNNNNNNNNNNNNNNNNNNNNNNNNNNNNNNNNNNNNNNNNNNNNNNNNNNNNNNNNNNNNNNNNNNNNNNNNNNNNNNNNNNNNNNNNNNNNNNNNNNNNNNNNNNNNNNNNNNNNNNNNNNNNNNNNNNNNNNNNNNNNNNNNNNNNNNNNNNNNNNNNNNNNNNNNNNNNNNNNNNNNNNNNNNNNNNNNNNNNNNNNNNNNNNNNNNNNNNNNNNNNNNNNNNNNNNNNNNNNNNNNNNNNNNNNNNNNNNNNNNNNNNNNNNNNNNNNNNNNNNNNNNNNNNNNNNNNNNNNNNNNNNNNNNNNNNNNNNNNNNNNNNNNNNNNNNNNNNNNNNNNNNNNNNNNNNNNNNNNNNNNNNNNNNNNNNNNNNNNNNNNNNNNNNNNNNCCGCCGCCCCGCCCUGGCCGGCCUCCUCCAACUCCGGCCUCCUCCUCCCCUCACUCCGGCGGUUCUUGCAACAGUAACUCCAGCGAACAUUGAAGAACGUGCCAGAUCUGAGAUCUAAAAUCUCGAGGGUUGACUUUUUGCUUGAAACCCUAGUUCAUAUGCUCCUGUUCAUCGCAUCGUAACUUUGCGUCCGUAGCUCCGCUUAAUGCAUAUAGCAUAUCAAAAUGUUCGUCUCAAAGAGUAAAUCAUUUCAUUCCAUUGCAUCAUUUUCAUUUGAGUUCAUCUUGAUGCCCGAAAUUCUUUUAGAAGAGGGCUACUUGAGUUAAUAGUCAGAUCUGCUACUCCAUCUUAGGCAUUUGUCAUUUUUGCCAUGAUUAAUGUGUGCGUGAUAUGCCCAUGAGCUCUACAUAUGUUUUGUUAAGGGUUUUGUCAUAUUUCCAGAGGUGCAACCCAUGUAUUUUUUGUGAUGUGUGUGGUGACUAGUGCAAGCUUGCAAAGUGAGGCACUCGGUAACUCCGUUUUCAGGGACUUGGUAAUUUCACUAAGUCCUGGGAUUGUUUAGUUCAUGAUGCCACAUGUUCAUGUUGUUUCCUAGUGAUCCGUGCCUCUUUUGAGGAUGAUCAGUAAAGGAGUUUUGUUAUUAUUGUAGUGCUCUAUCCAUCCAUGUCUUUGUUUGCAAUUAUGGAGCACCCUAGCUUGAGUCAAUCGAGCUCUACUUUUGCUUCGUUGUGAAUCUGGACAGAUUGUCAACUUGUUUGCAAUUUUGCCGGAGAUGUUGUAGUUGAUCUGUGCAUGCUAUACUAUUGUUAUUGCCAUGUAUAGCUUACAUUUUGUGCCUUCUUAGUGGAUGUAUGCUUGUCUUUCCAUGACUUGCACCGUAGUGAGUGCAUCGAGCUCGUAAACAUGCCUACUUGAGUUAAGUUUCAGCAUGUGUCAGUUUUCACUAAGUCUGAAAACUGAUUAUGUUUUUGCUAUGUUCGUGUGCUUAUUAGUAUAUUUUCGGAUCCCUUUUGGCUCAAGGUCACUAAGGGACUUUUGUUAAGCUUGUUGAGUAGCUCCAUGCCAUGUUCUUCUUUGCCAUGUUCAGGCCCUUUAACAUGUUGUUUUGUUGCUCCGAAGAGGGCUAUAUGAUCUGAAAUUUCAGACAAGUGUUAAUUUCACUAAGUCUGAGAUCUGUUUUCCAUUUGUGUUUUUGUCAUGUUUGAACCUGUUAAUGGAUGAUUUGGCCGUAGCUCAGUGCUAGACUUUUGUUAAGAAUCUUGAAUGCUUCCCUGCCAUGUAUUUUUUUGCCAUGUUUGGAUGCUGUAGCAUGUUUAUUUCAUUGCAUUUAGGUGCCUACUUGCUGUAAAUCGCAGACCGGUGUCAUAUUUGAAUCGCUUGCCAUUUCCAAACCGUAACUCCGAUUCCGGCGAUCUUUAUAUCGUUUUCAAGCAAUUUCAUCUCAUCUUUCCAGUGGCACACUUGGAAUUCCAUGUUGAGGCCAGGUUCAUGCAUUUCCUAUCAUAUCUUGCAUAUGCAUCCCGCAUCGCAUCCCGCAUAGCAUAUCGUCAUUGCAUCAUAUUGUUUGAGUUUGCACGUGGUUGAUUGUCUCCUUGUUGCUUGUUUGUCUUGUUUGGGUAGAGCCGGGAGACGAGUUCGCUAACGAGGAGCCCGUUGAGUUUGCUUUCGAGGAUCCAGUCAACUCUGACAGCUUUGCAGGCAAGAUGAUCAUACCCUCGAAAUCACUACUAUCUUUGCUAUGCUAGUUUGCUCGCUCUUUUGCUAUGCCAAUGCUUCGAUGCCUACCUUUGUUUGUCAGCCUCCCGAAUUGCCAUGUCAAACCUAUAACCCACCAUGUCCUAGCAAACCGUUGAUUGGCUAUGUUACCGCUUUUCUCAGCCCCUCUUAUAGCGUUGCUAGUUGCAGGUGAAGAUUGAAGGUCGUUCCUUGUUGGAACAUUUAUUUACUUGUUGGGAUAUCAUUAUAUUGCCAUGUUAUCUUAAUGCAUCUAUAUACUUGGUAAAGGGUGGAAGGCUCGGCCUCUCGCCUAGUGUUUUGUUCCACUCUUGCCGCCCUAGUUUGCGUGAUAUCGGUGUUAUGUUCCCGGAUUUUGCAUUCCUUACAUGGUUGGUGUUGGAAAUAUGCCCUAAAGGCAAUAAUAAAUUGAUUAUUAUUAUAUUUCCUUGUUCAUGAUAAUCGUUUAUUAUCCAUGCUAGAAUUGUAUUGAUAGGAAACUCAGAUACAUGUGUGGAUACAUAGACAACACCAUGUCCCUAGUAAGCCUCUAGUUGACUAGCUCGUUGAUCAAUAGAUGGUUACGGUUUCCUGACCAUGGACAUUGGAUGUCGUUGAUAAUGGGAUCACAUCAUUAGGAGAAUGAUGUGAUGGACAAGACCCAAUCCUAAGCCUAGCACAAAGAUCGUGUAGUUCGUAUGCUAAAGCUUUUCUAAUGUCAAGUAUCAUUUCCUUGGACCAUGAGAUUGUGCAACUCCCGGAUACCGUAGGAAUACUUUGGGUGUGCCAAACGUCACAACAUAACUGGGUGGCUAUAAAGGUACACUACAGGUAUCUUCGAAAGUGUCUGUUGGGUUGGCACGAAUCGAGACUGGGAUUUGUCACUCCGUGUGACGGAGAGGUAUCUCUGGGCCCACUCGGUAGGACAUCAUCAUAAUGUGCACAAUGUGAUCAAGGAGUUGAUCACGGGAUGAUGUGUUACGGAACGAGUAAAGAGACUUGACGCAAACGAGAUUGAACAAGGUAUCGGGAUACCCACGAUCGAAUCUCGGGCAAGUACAAUACCGCUAGACAAAGGGAAUUGAAUACGGGAUUGAUCGAAUCCUCGACAUCGUGGUUCAUCCGAUGAGAUCAUCGUGGAAAAUGUGGGAACCAACAUGGGUAUCCAGAUCCCGCUGUUGGUUAUUGACCAGAGAACGUCUCGGUCAUGUCUGCAUGAUUCCCGAACCCGUAGGCUCAGAUGGGCCUAAGGCCCACCCUAGGGGCCGCCCCCCCUAGGGGUGGGAACCCUAGAGGGGGCGCACCCUCCUCCCCUCCUCCUAUAAAUAGUGGGGUUUCGGGCUGCCUAACACACGCGAUUUGAUCUCUCCCUGGUGCAGCCCUACCUCUCUCCUCCUCGUCUCUUGCGGUGCUUGGCAAAGCCCUGCUGGAGUACCACGCUCCUCCACCACCACCACGCCGUUGUGCUGCUGCUGGAUGGAGUCUUCUUCAACCUCUCCCUCUCUCCUUGCUGGAUCAAGGCAUGGGAGACGUCACCGGGCUGUACGUGUGUUGAACGCGGAGGUGCCGUCCGUUCGGCACUAGGAUCUCUGGUGAUUUGGAUCACGACGAGUACGACUCCUUCAACCCCGUUCUCUUGAACGCUUCCACAUAGCGAUCUACAAGGGUAUGUAGAUGCACUCUCUUUCCCCUCGUUGCUGGUUUCUCCAUAAGAUAGAUCUUGGUGACACGUAGGAAAAUUUUGAAUUUCUGCUACGUUCCCCAACAGUGGUAUCAGAGCCAGGUUUAUUGCAUAGAUUCUAUGCACGAGUAGAACACAAAGUAGUUGUGGGCGUAGAUUUUGUUCAAUAUGCUUACCGUUACUAGUCCAAUCUUUAUUCGACGGCAUUGUGGGAUGAAGCGGCCCAGACCGACCUUACACGUACUCUUACGUGAGACUGGUUCCAUCGACUGACAUGCACUAGUUGCAUAAGGUGGCUAGCGGGUGUCUGUCUCUCCCACUUUAGUCAGAUCGGAUUCGAUGAAAAGGGUCCUUAUGAAGGGUAAAUAGCAAUUGGCAUAUCACGUUGUGGUUUUUGCGUAGGUAAGAAACGUUCUUGCUAGAAACCCAUAGCAGCCACGUAAAACAUGCAAACAACAAUUAGAGGACGUCUAACUUGUUUUUGCAGGGUAUGCUAUGUGAUGUGAUAUGGCCAAGAAGAAUGUGAUGAAUGAUAUGUGAUGUAUGAGAUUGAUCAUGUUCUUGUAAUAGGAAUCACGACUUGCAUGUCGAUGAGUAUGACAACCGGCAGGAGCCAUAGGAGUUGUCUUAAUUUAUUUAUGACCUGCGUGUCAACAUAAACGUCAUGUAAUUACUUUACUUUAUUGCUAACCGUUAGCUGUAGUAGUAGAAGUAAUAGUUGGCGAGACAACUUCAUGAAGACACGAUGAUGGAGAUCAUGAUGAUGGAGAUCAUGGUGUCAUGCCGGUGACGAUGAUGAUCAUGGAGCCCCGAAGAUGGAGAUCAAAAGGAGCAAAGUGAUGAUGGCCAUAUCAUGUCACUAUUUGAUUGCAUGUGAUGUUUAUCAUGUUUAUACAUCUUAUUUGCUUAGAACGACGGUGGUAAAUAAGAUGAUCCCUCAUUAAAAUUUCAAGAAAGUGUUCCCCCUAACUGUGCACCGUUGUGAAAGUUCGUCGUUUCGAAGCACCACGUGAUGAUCGGGUGUGAUAGAUUCUUACGUUCGAAUACAACGGGUGUUGACGAGCCUGGCAUGUACAGACAUGGCCUUGGAACACAUGCGAAACACUUAGGUUAACUUGACGAGCUUAGCAUGUACAGACAUGGCCUCGGAACACAAGAGACCUAAAGGUCGAGCAUGAGUCGUAUGGUAGAUACGAUCAACAUGAAGAUGUUCACCGAUGUUGACUAGUCCGUCUCACGUGAUGAUCGGACACGGCCUAGUUGACUCAGAUCAUGUAAUCACUUAGAUGACUAGAGGGAUGUCUAUCUGAGUGGGAGUUCAUAAGAUGAACUUAAUUAUCCUGAACAUAGUCAAAAGGUCUUCGCAAAUUAUGUCAUAGCUCGCGCUUCAGUUCUACUGUUUAGUUAUGUUCCUAGAGAAAAUUUAGUUGAAAGUUGAUAGUAGCAAUUAUGCGGACUAGGUCCGUAAACUGAGGAUUGUCCUCAAUGCUUCAUAGAAGGCUUAUGUCCUUAAUGCACCGCUCAGUGUGCUGAACCUCGAACGUUGUCUGUGGAUGUUGCGAACAUCUGACAUACACAUUUUGAUAACUACGUGAUAGUUCAGUUAAACGGUUUAGAGUUGAGGCACCAAAGACGUUUUGAAACGUCACGAAACAUAUGAGAUGUUUCGAGGGCUGAAAUUGGGAUUUCAGGCUCGUGCCCACGUCAAGAGGUAUAAGACCUCCGACGAUUUUCUUAGCCUGCAAAGUAAGGGAGAAAAGCUCAAUUGUUGAGCUUGUGCUCAGAUUGUCUGAGUACAACAAUCAUUUGAAUCGAGUGGGAUUUGAUCUUCCAGAUGAGAUAGUGAUGUUUCUCCGAACUCAUUACCACCAAGCUGCUAGAGCUUCCUGAUGAACUAUAAUAUAUCGGGGACAUAUAUGAUGAUCCUUGAGAUAUUCGCGAUGUUUGACACCACAAAAGUAGAAAUCAACAAGGAGCAUCAAUUGUUGAUGGUUGGUGAAACCACUAGUUUCAAGAAGGGCAAGGGCAAGAAGGGAUACUUCAUGAAAAGGCAAUUCAGCUGCUGCUCUAGUGAAGAAACCCAAAGUUGAACCCAAACCCGAGACUAAGUGCUUCUGUAAUAAGGGGAACAGCCACUGGAGCAGAAUUACCCUAGAUACUUGGUAGAUGAGAAGGCUGGCAAGGUCGGUAGAAGUAUAUUGGAUAUACAUUGUGUUAACGUGUACUUUACUAGUACUCCUAGUGGCACCAGGGUAUUAUAUACCAGUUCGGUUACUAAGUGUUAGUAACUCGAAAUAAAAGCUACAGAAUAAACGGAGACUAGCUAAAAGGUGAGAUGACGAUAUGUGUUGGAAGUAUUUCCAAGGUUGAUCAAAUAUCGUACGCUCCCUCUACCAUCAAGAUUGGUGUUUGCGUUGAGCAUAGACAUGAUUGGAUUAUGUCUAUAGUAAUACGGUUAUUCAUUUAAGGAGAAUAAUGGUUACUCUGUUUAUUUGAAUAAUACCUUCAAUGGUCUUGCACCUAAAAUGAAUGGUUUAUUGAAUCUCGAUCGUAGUGAUACACAUGUUCAUGCAAAAAGAUAUAAGAUAGUAAUGAUAGUACCACCUACUUGUGGCACUGCCACGUAAGUCAUAUCGGUAUAAAACGCAUGAAGAAGCUCCAUGUUGAUGGAUCUUUGGGCUCACUCGUUUUUGAAAAGUUUGAGACAUGCGAACCAUGUCUAUUGGUGUAUAUGCAUGAAGAAACUCCAUGCAAAUGGACCGUUUGGACUCACUUGAUUUUGAAUCACUUGAGACAUGCAAAUCAUACCACAUGGGCAAGAUGACUGAAAGCCUCGUUUUCAGUAAAAUGGAACUAGAAAGCAACUUGUUGGAAGUAAUACAUUUUGAUGUGUGCAGUCCAAUAAGUGAUGAGGCAUGUAGUGGAUAUCGUUAUGUUCUUACUUCACAGAUGAUUUGAGUAGAUGUUGAGUAUAUUUACUUGAUAAAUCAUGAGUCUGAAUUAUUGAAAGGUUCAAGUAAUUUCAGAGUGAAGUUGAACAUCGUCGUGACAAGAGGAUAAAAUGUCUAUGAUAUGAUCGUAGAGAUGAAUAUCUGAAUUACGAGUUUGGCACAGAAUUAAGACAUUGUGGAAAUUGUUUCACAACCAAUACAGCCAGGAACACCAUAGUGUGAUGGUGUGUCCGAACAUCAUAACUGCACCCUAUUGGAUAUGAUGCAUACCAUGAUGUCUCUUAUCAAAUUACCACGAUAGUUUAUGGGUUAGGCAUUAGAGACAACCACAUUCACUUUAAAUAGAGCACCAUGUAAUUCCAAUGAGAUGACACCGUAUGAACUAUGGUUUAGAGAAACCUAAGCUGUCAUUUCUUAAAAGUUUGGGGCUGCGACGCUUAUGUGAAAAAGCUUCAGGCUGAUAAGCUCGAACCCAAAGCGGAUAAAUGCAUCUUCAUAGGACACCCAAAACAGUUGGGUAUACCUCCUGUCUCAGAUCCGAAAGCAACAAGGGAUUGUUUCUAGAAUCGGGUCCUUUCUCGAGGAAAAGUUUCUCUGGAAAGAAUUGAGUGGGAGGAUGGUGGAGACUUGAUGAGGUUAUUGAACCGUCACUUCAACUAGUGUAUAGUAGGGCACAAAGAGUUGUUCCUGUGGCACCUACACCAAUUGAAGUGGAAGCUUAUGAUAUUGAUCAUGAAACUUCGGAUCAAGUCACUCCCAAACCUCGUAGGAUGACAAGGAUGCGUACUACUUCAGAGUGGUACAUAAUCCUGUCUUGGAAGUCAUGUUGCUAGACAACAAUGAACCUACGAGCUAUGGAGAAGCGAUGGUGGGCCCGGAUUCCGAUAAAUGGCUCGAGGCCAUAAAAUCCAAGAGAGGAUCCAUGUAUGAAAACAAAGUGUAGACUUUGGCAGAACGGCUCGAUGGUCGUAAGGCUAUUGAGUACAGAUGGAUUUUAAAAAGGAAGACGGACAAUGAUGGUAAGUAUCACCAUUAAGAAAGCUCGACUUGUCGUUAAGUUUUUUUCCAACAAGUUCAAGGAGUUGACUAUGAUGAGACUUUCUCACUCGUAGCGAUGCUAAGAGUCUGUUGGAAUUAUAUUAGUGAUUAUUGCACUAUUUAUGAAAUCUUGCAGAUAGGAUGUCAAAAAACAUGGUUUCCUCGACGUUUUUCUUGAGGAAAGGUUGUAUGUGAUACAACCGGAAUGUUUUGUCAAUCCUGAAAGAUGCUAAUAAGUAUGCAAAGCUUCAGCAAUCCUUCUAAGGACUGGAGUAAGCAUCUCGGAGUUGGAAUGUAUGCUUUGAUGAGAUGAUCAAAGAUUUUGGGUGUAUACAAAGUUUAUGAGAAACUUGUAUUUGCAAAGAAGUGAGUGGGAGCACUAUAGAAUUUCCGAUGAGUGUGUGUUGUUAACAUGUUGUUGAUCGGAAAUGAUGUAGAAUUUCUAGAAAGCAUGCAGAGUUAUUUGAAAAGUGUUUUUCAAUGGAAAGCCUGGAUUAAGCUACUUGAACGUUGAGCAUCAAGAUCUAUAAGGAUAGAUCAAAACGCUUAAUGGUACUUUCAAAUGAGCACAUACCUUGACAUGAUCUUGAAGGUGUUCAAGAUGGAUCAGUCAAAGAAGGAGUUCUUGCCUGAGUUGUAAGGUAUGAAGUUAAGACUUAAAGCUCGACCACGGCGGAAGAAAGAGAAAGGACGAAUGUCGUCCCCUAUGCUUUUGUCAUAGGCUCUAUACGGUAUGCCAUGCUGAGUACCGCACCUGAUGUGUGCCUUGCCACAUGUCUGGCAAGAGGGUACAAAAGUGAUCCAGUAGUGGAUCAUUAGAUAGCGGUCAAAAAUUGUCCUUGGAGUAAUAAGGACAUGUUUCUCGAUUAUGGAGGUGAUAAAGAGUUCGGCGUAAAGGGUUACAUCGAUGCAAGCUUUAACACCUAUCCGAAUGACUCUGAAUAGCAAACCGGAUACGUAUAGUGGAGCAACCAUUUGGAAUAGCUCCAAGUGGAGCGUGGAAGCAGCAUUUAUAAUAUGACCUAGAGAUUUGCGAAGUACAUACGGAUCUGAAUGUUACAGACCCGUUGACUAAAACCUCUCUCACAAGCAAAACAUGAUCAAACCCAGAACUCAUUGAGUCUUAAUCACAUGAUGAUGUGAACUAGAUUAUUGAUUCUAGUAAACUCUUUGGGUGUUAGUCACAUGGGGAUGUGACCUUGAGUGUUAAUCACAUAUUGAUGUGAACUAGAUUAUUGACUCUAGUGCAAGUGGGAGACUGUUGGAAAUAUGCCCUAGAGGCAAUAAUAAAUUGAUUAUUAUUAUAUUUCCUUGUUCAUGAUAAUCGUUUAUUAUCCAUGCUAGAAUUGUAUUGAUAGGAAACUCAGAUACAUGUGUGGAUACAUAGACAACACCAUGUCCCUAGUAAGCCUCUAGUUGACUAGCUCGUUGAUCAAUAGAUGGUUACGGUUUCCUGACCAUGGACAUUGGAUGUCGUUGAUAACAGGAUCACAUCAUUAGGAGAAUGAUGUGAUGGACAAGACCCAAUCCUAAGCCUAGCACAAAGAUCGUGUAGUUCGUAUGCUAAAGCUUUUCUAAUGUCAAGUAUCAUUUCCUUAGACCAUGAGAUUGUGCAACUCCCGGAUACCGUAGGAAUACUUUGGGUGUGCCAAACGUCACAACGUAACUAGGUGGCUAUAAAGGUACACUACAGGUAUCUCCGAAAGUGUCUGUUGGGUUGGCACGAAUCGAGACUGGGAUUUGUCACUCCGUGUGACGGAGAGGUAUCUCUGGGCCCACUCGGUAGGACAUCAUCAUAAUGUGCACAAUGUGAUCAAGGAGUUGAUCACGGGAUGAUGUGUUACGGAACGAGUAAAGAGACUUGCCGGUAAUGAGAUUGAACAAGGUAUCGGGAUACCGACGAUCGAAUCUCGGGCAAGUACAAUACCGCUAGACAAAGGGAAUUGAAUACGGGAUUGAUCGAAUCCUCGACAUCGUGGUUCAUCCGAUGAGAUCAUCGUGGAACAUGUGGGAACCAACAUGGGUAUCCAGAUCCCGCUGUUGGUUAUUGACCGGAGAACGUCUCGGUCAUGUCUGCAUGAUUCCCGAACUCGUAGGGUCUACACACUUAAGGUUCGAUGACGCUAGGGUUAUAAAGGAAGUUUGUAUGUGUUUACCGAAUGUUGUUCGGAGUCCCGGAUGAGAUCCCGGACGUCACGAGGAGUUCCGGAAUGGUCCGGAGGUAAAGAUUUAUAUAUGGGAAGUCCUGUUUUGGUCACCGGAAAAGUUUUGGGUUUUAUCAGUAACGUACCGGGACCAUCGGGAGGGUCCCGGGGGUCCACCAAGUGGGGCCACCAGCCCCGGAGGCUUGCAUGGGCCAAGAGUGGUAAGGGACCAGCCCCUGAGUGGGCUGGUGUGCCUCCCACAAGGCCCAAAGGCGCAGCUUGGAGGAGAAGGGGAAACCCUAGGCUCAUAUGGGCCUAAGGCCCACCCUAGGGGGCGCCCCCCUCUCCCCCUCUUGGCCGCCCCCCCUUUUUCCCAUCUAGGGAUGCCGCCCCCCCCCCCUAGGGGUGGGAACCCUAGAGGGGGCGCACCCUCUUCCCCUCCUCCUAUAAAUAGUGGGGUUUUGGGCUGCCCAACACAUGCGAUUUGAUCUCUCCCUGGUGCAGCCCUACCUCUCUCCUCCUCGUCUCUUGCGGUGCUUGGCGAAGCCCUGCUGGAGUACCACGCUCCUCCACCACCACCACGCCGUUGUGCUGCUGCUGGAUGGAGUCUUCUUCAACCUCUCCCUCUCUCCUUGCUGGAUCAAGGCAUGGGAGACGUCAUCGGGCUGUACGUGUGUUGAACGCGGAGGUGCCGUCCGUUCGGCACUAGGAUCUCCGGUGAUUUGGAUCACGACGAGUACGACUCCUUCAACCCCGUUCUCUUGAACGCUUCCGCAUAGCGAUCUACAAGGGUAUGUAGAUGCACUCUCUUUCCCCUCGUUGCUGGUUUCUCCAUAAGAUAGAUCUUGGUGACACGUAGGAAAAUUUUGAAUUUCUGCUACGUUCCCCAACAGUUGGGUUAUAAUGGGAACCCCUUGAUAGUUCGCCUUGAUUAAAGCUUUUCCAGCAAUGCCCAACCUUGGUUUUACCAUUUGCCACCUAGCCUCUUUUCCCUUGGGUUUCCGGAGCCCGAGGGUCAUCUUAUUUUAGCCCCCCGGGCCAGUGCUCCUCUGAGUGUUGGUCCGAACCAGGCAGCCUGCGGGGCCAUCUCGGGGAAACUCGAAGGUUGGUUUUACUCGUAGCUUGACCUAUCUGAGUGUGCCCUGAGAACGAGAUAUGUGCAGCUCCUAUCGGAAUUUGUCGGCACAUUCGGGCGGUGUUGUUGGUUUAGUUUUAACCUGUCGAAAUGUCUUGAAGAACCGAGAUACCGAGUCUGAUCGGAACGUCUUGGGAGGAGGUCUAUUCCUUCGUUGACCGUGAGAGCUUGUCAUGGGCUAAGUUGGGACUCCCUGCAGGGAUUGAACUUUCGAAAGCCGUGCCCGCGGUUAUGGGCAGAUGGAAAUUUGUUAAUGUCCAGUUGUAGAUAACUUGAACCUUAAUUUAAUUAAAAUGAAUCAACCGUGUGUGUUACCGUGAUGGCCCCUUCUCGGCGGAGUCCGGGAAGUGGACACGGUGUUGGAGUAAUGUUUGCGCAGGUUGCUCUCUAGUUUCUCGCUCGCGCUUUGCCUCCUUUUCUCGCUCUCUUUUGCGAAUAAGUUAGCCACCAUAUAUGCUAGUCGCUUGCUGCAGCUCCACAUAUAUUUACCUUACCCUACCUAUAAGCUCAAAUAGUCUUGAUCGCGAGGGUGCGAGAUUGCUGAGUCCCUGUGGCUCACAGAUUACUAUUACACCAAAUGCAGGUCCAGGUGAUUCCGCUCCAGGUGACGCUUACGAGCUCAAGUGGGAGUUCGACGAGGACUCUCAGCGUUACUAUGUUUCCUUUCCUGAUGAUCAGUAGUGGUGCCCUGUUGGGGGUGAUCGGGACCAUGUCGCUUGUUGGGUUAUCUUUCAUUUUGGCGCCGUAGUCGGGCCAUGAGUGUUUGAAUGAUGUAUGUUAUUUAUGUACUUGAUUGACGUGGGAGUGUAAGCCAACUAUGUUAUCCCUUUUCAUUAUCUUUAUUACAUGGGAUGUUUGUGAUGAUUACCUGACUUGCGACAUAUGCCUUCAAUGCGAUUAUGCCUCUAAGUCGUGCCUCGACACGUGGGAGAUAUAGUCGCAUCGAGGGUGUUACAGCCGUAGAAUGCUGUUCUGGAAUCCAUAUCUUGCUUGGAGAAGAGUGCUAUGUUGUUGUGAUUGUGUUCCCUCGUUCGGUUUGUGUGUCUAUAUAGCAGCCAGGAGCAAUAAGGAUGGGGUGCAAGAACAGUUCAAACCAAUUUGUUUGAGUGUCUUUUUUCUCAUUUCAGAGGGAAUGUUUCAGUGUUGUUAGUUAGGUGACAGCGACACACACGCGUGAGGAGCAAAGACUAAUCCUUUUGUCUAUAUAGGAAUCCCCGUGCUUUUUGUAAUGAGGAAGAAGCACCAUGCUUUGAUCAGGUCCUGGCGGCUAUUAGUACCAAACCGGAUAUAGAUCUUAAUUAAUUAUAUGCUCUCUCGUGCAAUGACCUGGUCGACUUUCAAACAAGCUUCCACGGCUUUGCACAUGGGUCUUAAUCGUUCCACAUGCGUCUUAAUCGUUCUACAAACGCGGGCGGUAUAGGUAAUACGUAACAAAGUUGACAAACGUGACACAUUCAAAUAUUCCAUGGGCACGUCAAGGAUAUAGACCCGCCAACUUUCCUAUAAUCGCAUGUACUCAAAGAUGUAACUUUGCCUGUUUUCAAAUAAAGUUCCAAGAGACUUUUUCUUCGAAAAAUAAAUUUACAAGGGCAAAGACUGGUUUUGCUGAUCCGUUUCUCCAGCUAUUACAUUAUAUAAAUCCAGUAGUUCGAGCCGACAUAGUGUGAUGUGGUCGCCUCUCUAAGCUCGUCUCAUGGUUUUCAAUUCUUUCACUGAGAAAGCCAACUAACAAGUAUUUAAAGAGAACACACAUUUAUGGAAAACAUAGGCCCGAGAAUGGAUAUUGGGACGUUACAUAGACAUCAUCAAUCAUAUCAUAGUGCACAUAACAAAGCAUGUAAAACCAAGCUCAUGUUCUCCUACUUUUGUAGGCAUGUAUUAGUAUGUAGUUGAACUUGCUUAUUUAUAGGAACAAGAGCUUGCCCAGCAUCUAUAGUCCUACCCUCCCAUGUCACGGUGAUCAUAGUUUAAACAAAGGGUAAUUAAGGCGUCAUUUUGUGAGACAACCGUACCAACACAUUAACACUUCGUGAAUACAUGGAAACAUCAAAUCACAACACUCCCCAUUGAUAUCCCGGUCACCCUCGGGGUCACUUUUGAGGCUAUAAUAGGUACAUACCACACUUGCAGGUACAAUCCAGACACAUUGGCAUCAUGAAAACUUAUAUGGUUAAUAUAUGAUACCACGUUACUUGGGCCCUAUUAGUAGACAUUAAGCAUAACAAAGUUGUAUCAAAACCCUAUAAUCUUAGCACUACUAUAUGAUUGGCAUCGUCAAAUUCCCAUCCACCUGCCUACAACAGAUUACUUGCAUAUGGAUGGAAGAAACAUGAUGGAGAUGAGAGGAAAAGAGUUGAUGGCGGUGGAACUCCCUCUUAGUGUGCAGAAUCAACCUCUCGACAACCCUCCUAGACGAGGAUUAGCGAUGGUGUCGACCGUCAAGUGUCAGGAUAAUAUGGCAUAAAUUUCGUGGAACUUAGAACGCCAAGAGAAAUUGAUAGCCGGAAGGAGUUGAUGGGAGACAACCUUUGGAUCCCCACGCAGGUGGCUCACACAACCUCCUCCAUAGCCAGCGUGAGGAGUGGGGCAUUAAGGUCAAUGAUACUCAAAUCGGAAGAGACAUACCGAGGACGAGGUAAGGGUGGGGGAUAAUCCAUCAUUACAAAAGGAAUGUGAAACCGAAUUUUAUUAAACUAAUUUUCAUGUGUAUUAGAUUAUUAUUUUCACCCGCCAAAGAAUCCUAUCUGGAGCAAUAGAAUUAAAAUGGACAUGGGCGCUCAGAACAAUUAAUUGACAAACGCAAAAAUAAGGAUCUUGAAGUUUGGACCCAAGGACAACAAGGCAUAAAAAUUUUGAUAUCACAAAGGAAAUCGUGCAAACUACAAUGUAAAUCUAAAUUAACUUCAAUGUACUAACACGAGCAUUUUGGACAUUAGCAGCCAUUCAUGAAUUCGGUGAUUUUGGCCCAGCUAAGAAAAUUUGAUCAUGUUUAUUUCUUUUCACUUCCAGUUUAGAAACGUUUUCAUCCAGAAAGAAAGGUUCCGGAGAUUUGAUCAUUCGUUCUCCCUUAGUCUAUUUCAUGUCGAUAUGAUCCAUGGUUUUCUCAUUAAUUCAUUUUUCGUAAAAGUUUGUGAAUAAACCUCUCCUUAGCAAAGAAUCGUAUUUUAUUCCAGUAUAACAUUUCCUGUGAUGAUGUACAAAAUUAAAGUGUUUCUUCUACAUUUUCUUAUGCCAACCACAUGAAUACAUAAAUUAUGUGUAUAAUACAAAGAAUAUGAGCUUAAGAUGUAUCUGCAACAAAGUCUUGUAUCACAUUCCGUACCGCAAUAGGAAUUCUCACUGAGUGGGUACUUCCGUCUGACCAUGUCAAGCUCCCAAAAGUGUAUCCUCCUUGUACUCUCUGCCUUGUUGUGAAUGUCACCAUAAACGUCACGCUUUUACUAGUGCUUUGGGUGAAAUUUAUCACAGAUGGCUCUACGGACACGUCUAUCCCCGCUGGAGCUUCAACCACUAAAUGAUAUGUUGCUUCCGCUGGCCCAAUGUUAGUCACGGUGCGCCGAAGCAUGACACGGUCCUUGAGGUCUGGCACGGCAAUUGACGGGAGGUUGAGAUUGAGGUAGUAGGACUCACAGCCGCCUAAAUAUCCAAGGGUGCAGUUGAAAAACUUGUUGUACUCCCUUGCAUCAAUGUCGUAAACCAAGCCAGGGUCAACGGCUCUAUUUGGGUCAAUGUGUCCACCACCAAAGUCGAAGGGGUCGGCUAGUUUCCUUGGGACUGCUUCUGCUUGGAUUGGCAUGCCAAAACGAUCGGUCACAGAUGCUUCAACCAAUGCCAAGGAAUCAUCAAGUUAGUCAUAUAUUCAAAUGAGUUAUUUUGACAUAUUUUGGUUAUUACUUUCCUACCUGUGGUGACGAUGGCCGAUUUGAUCAUGGCAGGUGACCACUGAGGGUGAACCGACUUGAGCAUCGCAGUCACUGCGGAGACAUGUGGGCACGCCAUUGAUGUCCCAGAAUAGAACACGUAGGAGCCGCGUACCGCUGCCAAUAUGUUGACGCCAGGAGCAGUAAUGUCGGGCUGUCAAAACAUUAAUUUUUAUCAUGAAUUAGGUAUGUAAGUCUUCAAUUCUGAAAAACUAGAUAGGCUAGAUAGCAAACAAACAGUGACAAACAUUCAACUAUUUGCCUUAAGUUGAUAAUGAUAUACACCUUCAGUAUGCCAGGGAGCAAUAGGCUUGGACCUCUGGAGGAGAACGAGGCGACCCUCGGCGACAACACCCCAUUUCCAACAACACUUACAGCCGGAGACACCAUCACCACCGGAUUCCUAGACACAUGACAAACAUGAAUUAGUUCUUGUAUAAGGAGAUGGCAAACUGACUGUUCAAAUAUGUUCACACUGCAGUUUCCAACAAUUCGACAAAUUCUCACUCAGUCAUGUCCCAGUAGGAGAAAAUUCGAUGUGCGAUCUCGAAAUCCACCAGAGCGCAAGGCAUAAAUCCCUCGCACCCGACCAGGCUGUCAAGAUUGUUGGCGGUAUAUUGUGCGAAGAUGAGGCCCUUCGCACCGGACUCAAUAGUAUAAUUGAAUUGAUGGCAUAAGGGAGUAUUAACUGGGGCGACCACCGCGAUGCCUCUUCUGGUGCAUAACAAAGGACGGUUUUGCCCGUGACAUUGCCCAAGGCCAGUGAUUCCGGGUCGCAGCUGCUCAAAAGUUUUAAAAUUGAACAUGGUUUCGUCCUAAAGCGCGGCAUUUACUAUUAAUCAAAUGUCAUCAAGAGACUGGUUUCUUUCAUUACCUCCCAGCAUAAACAAGGGCCUGAGAGCCGCUGUUAUUUAUAGCUGCAUUGUAAUUUAGAGCUUGUCCCUGCGUUUGAAAUUGAUCACAAAUUAAAGGAGGAGCAAACCAUUUAUUUUCCCCGGGUUGGUUUGAACGUCACUUUCGUGCUCAGAGAGUCAAAAGGUUAUUAUUUAGUAAAAUUAUAGGGAAAAGCCUGAUUGACCAAUCCUCCACAUUCAUGCUAUCUUAUAUGAACUAUUUCAGGAUUGGAGCAUGUCUUAUCCAAUAACAUUUUCACCUGUUUUCUUUAAUAUUUUCCAUGGGGUUUUUCUAUCCCUUGAGAAGGGCAAGGUAACACUUCCCUGUAAUAUUUCUUAAGAGAUGGAAAAUAUACGAAAUGAUUUACAUACUUUUUUAAAACAAAGGAGUGAAAUAGUUUGGUACAUACCACCAGCUUUUCUUUGUUCCCAAGCAAUAUUAAGGUCGGAAAAGACCGGUCAAUCGUGCUAGCGGCCACCGGUCUUAACCCAUGGCACGGCAUUCGUCACCGUCUGUGGCACAGGGCCAUCAUUCCCUCCGGUGAACACGACAGAGAUCCCUCUUUGCACAGCAUGCAACGUCCCAGAGUACUCCUGACCAACCCCUCCAACAGAGAGCGACAAGACGUCAACCCCAUCAUGUAUAGCGUCAUCAAUGGCAGCAAGGACCGCCGUGUCAGGGCAACCCUCAUCCAGCCAGCACACCUUGUAGAUACCAAGUCGUGCACGUGGUGCUCCGUCACGUGCCACACCCAUGCCUAGGCCUCCAUAGCUGACGCCCUGCACUUCCCCACUGGCGAUAGUUGAGGCGACGUGUGUGCCAUGGCCAUUGAGGUCCCUAGGUGACUUGUAGUCGAUCUUUAAUGACUCGGCACUGAUGCCACGGCCAUACCACCGCGCACCGAUGAUCUUUCUGUUGCAACUAGUGGCGUUGAACUUCUCGCCACUCUGGCAUUUUCCUUUCCACCGUGCCGGCACGGGGCCAUAGCCGUUGUCAUCAAAGCUUCGUGAUUCAGGCCAUAUGCCUAUAAAGAAGCAUUUACAUCCAUGGGGUUAAUUGAUUCCUGGCCUUGGGAUUUCUCAUGUUUUGGAUUUAAGCUUAAGGAUGGGAUUACAAACCUGUAUCGAUCACACCCACAAUGACAUCUUCACCAUACUUUGCUCUUUUGAGGAGCCCCGGUUGUUGUGGCGGUUGAUUAUAGUCAAGGCCAAGGAAAUCCCAGCUCCGAGUUGUGUGCGUUUUGUGAAAAAUAUUAGUGUUCACAGAGACAACUUCAGGAAAUUCUACAUUCAUAGUAUGUUCAUUAGUUCAUUUCGAUCAUGCAAGUUGAUAUAAAGAUAGCAAGCUCAUGCCACCUCCGGACUGACAAUUAAUAAUCAUACUCCAAACAAAUAUGGUUGUGUAAAUGGCAAUGAUGAUGGAGAGGCUGGGGGCUUAACCCCGUCUUAUAAAAAAAAGGGUUGACAAUUACUUACUUGCGAUUGCCACAGCUUGAGAUUUUGUUAGCAUAGCCGCGAACCCAGAAAAUCCAUGCUUGUAACUGUAAACUAUCGGCCUCACGGCUUCAUCCUUGCUGUUUCAAGUAAUAAUAAAACAAAAGGGAGGUGAGCAAAUCACGACUGUUUCCUGCUAACACAUCUAUGAUGCGACAUGAAACUCAUAGCCAGUAGUACCUCCCAAAAACAGAUAUUAGCAUGUCAUGGUGCGACGCGAUGACCACGGACGGGUCAUCAUGUUUCUUCUCCCCCAUAUACACAAUGUAGAGCUGAAAUUUCAACAAGAAAAUGUUCUCAGUAAAAGAUUGGAAAGAAGAUAAGAUAAAUGCUGUGCGAAGAGGAAUCGAGCAUGGAUCUUACUUUGCUCGGCGCGCUGGCUGAAAGAGGCAGCAGCGUCACCAGCAGUAGCAGAGCGCCGCAGAAUGCUGUUCUGGAAUCCAUAUCUGGCUUCGAGAAGAGUGUUCCCUCGAUCGCUUCUCCCUGUGUGUAUAUAUAGCAGCCAGGAACAAGAACAAGCAUGGAGGCACAAGAACAGUUCAGACGAAUUUGUGUGCGAGCUGUUUCCUUCCCUUUUAAGGGAUUGUUUGUGUUGCUACUUGCUAGGUGACACACACGUCCGCAAGGAAGACCAUAUAUAGAUCCUUGUCUGUAUACAAAGCACCGUGCCUUUUCCAUCAGAGAAGAAGCACCGUGCUUUGAUCAGGUCUGCCAGGAUUAAACAGCUAACCGGAUAUAAAUAUUCUGGUAUCUGACGUAAUGACCUGAUCAUCGUCUUUCAAACAAUUUUCCGCGGUAAGUUGGGCAUGAAACAGGAUGGGCCGCUUUGAUGCCAGGACAAUCAUUUUAGGUUUUUUAGGCUUAUGCCCUUGGUUGGUUCCCACUACUCUUAGAUUUCGGACCUACACAGUUUUACCCUUGUUUCAAUAUAAAACCAUUUUUUUCUUUUCGAUUUGAACUCAAUUUCAUCAAUUCUGAAGUUGCUACCCACAUGUGUGAUGUGGUCUGUUAGACCAUUGCUUAGGGCAUCUCCAAUGCAGACACCUACUCCGGCCUCAAAUGUCUGAACCGGAUGGUUCAGACACUUUAGACCUCCAAUGUGGACUCCUACCAAAAUCACUCGGUCUGUCCCCAAAUCGAGAGGCGGGAUCGGGGAGUCUAGGCAUCGUCAUGUCCCAUUACUACAUCUUGAACCCAGCAACUACCUCCUUGACCCCUCCUUUUUUUUUCCANNNNNNNNNNNNNNNNNNNNNNNNNNNNNNNNNNNNNNNNNNNNNNNNNNNNNNNNNNNNNNNNNNNNNNNNNNNNNNNNNNNNNNNNNNNNNNNNNNNNNNNNNNNNNNNNNNNNNNNNNNNNNNNNNNNNNNNNNNNNNNNNNNNNNNNNNNNNNNNNNNNNNNNNNNNNNNNNNNNNNNNNNNNNNNNNNNNNNNNNNNNNNNNNNNNNNNNNNNNNNNNNNNNNNNNNNNNNNNNNNNNNNNNNNNNNNNNNNNNNNNNNNNNNNNNNNNNNNNNNNNNNNNNNNNNNNNNNNNNNNNNNNNNNNNNNNNNNNNNNNNNNNNNNNNNNNNNNNNNNNNNNNNNNNNNNNNNNNNNNNNNNNNNNNNNNNNNNNNNNNNNNNNNNNNNNNNNNNNNNNNNNNNNNCUGAAUGCACUGCGACCCAAUCAGCAUCCAGAGCUCACUGCCACUAACCACCAUUUGCAAUCAUUCGAGCAGAAGGAAUCGCUCCAUAAGGCCAUAAAUCACCUAAGUUGCGGUUGUCUUCCUCGCCUCCGGUCGAGCAUCGCCAUGGUUAGGUCCCAGCGCCCCUCUGUCCAUCUUAGCAAUCCCCAGGAGCUUCCAAAGACGGUGCUGCAAAAUAAUGUAUACAAACUAUAUAACUUGGCUACGAACAAUAGGCCAUCCCUCCAUUUGUCUCCUAUAAGCAGUUCCAACAAUGUAUUAAUGGUGACAGCAGGGUUACAAAUUUGUAAUUCCUCUCAAAUAGCCUCCUACAUCCGAUCACUGGAGCGAAGGAAUGUUCAUGGGCUUAUUCUAUUCAGCCUCAGCGCUUCUGAAGAGUGGCAACACCAACGAGCAUAAGCUAAACUAUAUGUAGCUCAUAAUUUCAGGUAGUAAUUGAUAGCAAAAGAAUUUUCCAGGCAAUAACUGAGAUUGCACUGUAUUUUCUUCCGAUCCCAAAUAGAGGUAUGUCGAGAGAUUACUGCAUCUCUUUUGUUCUCUUGUCGAGGCCAGCAUAUCCUUUUUCUGAAACUAAUUCUAGCAUAUCUCCUGGGAAACUGCAGCAGUGAACACACACU